AAAUAAAUUUUGUUUGGGCACGGUGUCCAGAAAAUUUUUGUCCGUUUAAUGUUUAAUUGGAUAUAGUUAUAAAUAUAAUAUAGUUGAAAGUAUAUACAGUUGUAAAUACUGUAGUCAUAAUUACACCUAAUCUGUUUGAUUUUAUACAGAUGCAACUGCUGCAGUUACAUUUCUUCUGUUUGGUAGACUGCAGUUGAGAUUUAUAUUUGUAAAUUCUGUCAUUUUUAGAUAGAAAUGUGCGAUUACCUCUUCUCAACAUAAAACAAUUAUCUUUUAAUUAUUAAUUAAGACUUUUAUAUUUACAUAUAAUUUAUAUAUUAUCAAAUUAUAUAUGAAUUUAAAAAAAUUUAAAUGUAAAUAUAUUAUAAGUUUGGUCAAAAUAAAAAUUAAGUGUUAUUAAACUAGCAGACUGAAAAAUAAGAAGCGUAUGAAAAAAAAUUUAUUGACCUUAACAGACAUUACUAUCAGAAUUCAUAAAUAUGUAUUUUUGGAAAAAAAAAAUAAGAAGGGUAUGAAAAAAAAAAUCACACUUUGUUUAUUUUUUUAAUGGGUGAGGCGACUCUGGCUCAAUUGCUGCAGUUGGUACUGCGGCCAAUUUGAAUGCAAUACCAAUUGUUACAGCUGGGCCUUCUCCUGUAGAUGCAACUACAGGAGUUAGACCUAACUGCAUCAAACUAAACAAAAAAUUAAUAGAUGCAUGCAUUUUUAACUGCAAUGCAGUUGAAAAUGCAAGCAACUAAACAGCCCCUUAUAGCAGUAACGUGAAGUUCCCUAAUCAAAUAGUAUUUUUUAAAUUUAUUUUUUUAAGUAUAAUUAUAAAAAAAUAUUUUUAUUAUAUAUAUUUGUUUAAAAUGAGAUAUUAUUAAUUUGUUUUUGAUAAUAUGAUACAAGUAUGACAUAAUAGGCUUCUACUUUGUUAGACUCUUGGGGCCGCAAUGUGGUCGGGUCGCGUGCUCACCUGUGAUCUGACCCGAGCUAAAUUAUGGAGUAUGUGCAUGCUUCCGUGUGCAAGUGGCCUGACGACCACUUAUUUUGUUUGGAGUAUCCGCCGCCUCAAUCCGACCCUCCCAUGUAUAAUCCUCUUAUAUUUUUUUCUUUUUUAGCUAAUUAUAAAUUCUUUUUCUUGUUCAAAUGCUGCUUCUAUACUCUUUUAAAAAAGUAUACCCCAAGAGUAGACCCACUUUUGCAUGUAUAAAUAAUAUUGCUUAAUUUUUAUGCGAGCAAUAUUACUUGUAUGCUGAAAAAAAUAAUGGAUAGAAAUGUUAAAUUUCAUUCAUCUAAGAAUUAAUAUUUUCAUAUUAGUCUUAUUAAUUUUUAAAUAUUAAACAUUUAAAAGGAGUGAUUAAACUGUUGGAUUCUUCGGUGUAAAAUUUACACCAUAUUUUUUGGUAUACAAGUAGCAUUGCUCUUCUUAUACUGAUGCCUAAGAAGUAAAUUAUUUGAUUUGUAAUUUUUAAGUCUAUUACAAAUAUAACACCCCUAUUAUUGUAUUAGUAUUUAAAUAAUUAGAUAUUAUUACUUAAUUAAAUAUUAUUUAUAUAUAAUAAUAUGCUAAAUCUCAACGCCACUCAUCCAAAAUUGUAGAAAUUACUCAUUGGAUGGAUAGUGUGUAUGAUUUGUUAGUGUAGAUUGUAAUAAUGGAAGUGAGAUUGAUGAAUAGUUGUGUCUGUUCAUAAAGUAGUUAAUCUUAUGAAAUGAUUCGUCUCUUCAUUUAACGAAAAGAUAUGUCUCUUCACGAAGAAAUAUGUUUCUUCACGAAAAGAUAUGAACUUUUUUAUGAAAGAGUAUGUUUUUUCGUUAUUCGUGAAAGGACAUGUUCUUUUGUAAAAGGAUAUAACUUUAAAAGUUGUGUCCCUUCAUCGUAACCAUUCACUUUCUAUAAAUAAAAAAUGUUUGAAGGUUUCAAGAGCAACGUAUUCAAUCCUUCCUCCUUCCUAAUUUUUCAUAUUGAUGCUUAAAAGAGUUCUUAAGGGAAAGUCUUCAAAAGUGCUGUUUGCAGUCUUUCAGCAGUCUGGUUGUAUCCUGGAGGUGAUUUGCUGGUAACCCGAUAGCAUACAUUCGAGUGGGGGCAAAUAACACCUUAAAGAAAGUGAACUUACAUGCCUUAAGACCAUAAUUUGCUUGAUCUCUAUUCAUAUUUUUCCAACAAUUUUAAGGUGUUAUUUAAUGGAGACAAACACUGAAGCGACUUUCAAGAUGACAAAUCAAGACUAUAUGAAACUGAACCAAUUCGAUGGGACGAACUUCACUCGAUGGAAAGAUAAGAUGAUGUUCUUACUUACUGCACUGAAGAUAGCCUACAUUCUGGACCCCAACUUGUCAGAUAUUUCUACCCCGACUAAUGCAGUUACUGAUGAAGUGAGGGCGACAGGUAAAAAAGGCAAGGAGGAUGAACUACUAUAUAAAGGACAUAUUCUCAAUACCUUGCCAGAUAAUUUAUAUGACUUAUUUGCAUCAAUCCAAUCACUAAGAGAAAUAUGAAACUCUCUAGAAGCAAGAUAUAAUACUGAAAAGUAAGGCACAGAUAAGUUUUUAAUUAUGAAAUAUUUUGAAUUUACUAUGGUAGAAAACUUAUGAAUAAUGCAACAAGUACAUAAGUUACAAAUUUUGGUUUUUAAGCUUAAAGAGUUAGAGAUUUCUGUUCCAGAAUCUUUUCAAGUGGGGGCUAUUGUUGCAAAAUUGCCUCGUAACUGGAAUGAUUAUAGAAAGAAACUUUUACACACUACAGAAGAUUUUACUUUAGAACAAAUUCAAAAACACUUGAGAAUUGAGGAGGAAACUCGGAACCGCUACCUAAAAAAUGAUGUUCAACAUAAGUUUAAAGUAAAUCAAGUAGAUGAAAAUAAAAAUCAAAAGUUUUCUGGAAAUAAGAGAACAUUUUCUGAAUCAAAUAACUCCAAGAUAAAAAGGGACAGGAUUUGUUAUCACUACGGAAAGAAGGGUCACUAUAAAGAGAGUGCAGAUACAUGAAGAAAUUUAAGAAGGAAGACACUAAUAAGGCCAAUAUAAUUGAACAACAAACCACAAAAUUUAUUGCAAUGAUUUCUAACAUGCAUAUAAGCACAGUUACCGAACUUCACAUGGCGACAGCAAGUCAGUCGCUGAAUUGGUGGUAUGAUUCGAGUGCUACUGUUCAUGUCUGCAACAACAAAUCUCAAUUUAUAGAUUAUGAAGAGGCAGCAGAUGGUCAGGAAGUGUUGAUGGGAAAUCACAGUGCUGCAAAAGUUCUAGAAAAGGGCAGCUGUAAGGAUAUGAAAACCUCGAAUUGUAAAUUGGAACUUCGAUCAGAAUUGAUCCAAGAUGAGUUCGGAGCGCUUCGGAAAAGCCGAAGGCGUCGAAAAUGCAAAAAGUGCAUUGACGAGGACCUCGGAGAGCAAGUUGAGAAAAUUCUGCAAGCUGCAAUUUUUGUGCUCUCGGAGAUCGGUCCUUCCAGAGGGAAGCAGCAACAGGCUAUUGCCUGCGAGAGUUUUGCUCUCGGGGACCGGUCUCCCUUUAGAGAAACCGGUCCCCGUAGCCCGAAAAUGCCCAGUUUGGGCAGUGUGAUAUGUAAAGAGUUGAUGGGGUUUUUGGCAUUGUUACAUAUGAGGGGUUAUAUGAGAAUGUUUUACUCUCUCUUCUCUCAUUUCCCUCUCAUCUAAAACCUAAUUAAAUAGCUCUCCCGCUCUCUCUCUAAGCUCCCUUUCUCGCUCUUAAUGGUGGAUCUAAGGGGAGGAUUUGUUGGAGAAGCAAGCUUAGGAGUUGGUCUCAUUCCUCUUCAUCUUCUCCCUCUCCUUUGGAGUAGCUUGUUUGAGGUAAGCUCAUGGAGCUUUCAUGGUAGAUCACCAGAGAUGAGUUUUUUUGCUCUAGAAUUGAUUUUGUUGGAACCCGUUAAUGCUAGAUAGAUGUUUAUUGCGUGAAUCUAAAGCUUUAAUGGUGGAUUCUUGCAUUGGUGCUAAGUUAGGGUUCCAAAUGGGGUUUUUCAAAAUCUAGGGGUUUGAUCUAAAUUGGACAUAUGUAAACCUAAUUGCUAGAUAUUUUAACGCGUUGGCGAAGUCGGUUCGGCGGUUCGUCGAGCCUACGCGAAUGAGUCGAAGAGAAGACCUGUUUUGGUACAGAUUGCCGUAGCACGCGGCGUAGGCUUCCAAAAAUUACGAGAUCGGAUUCGUGGGCUCGUGACAUCGCUAAAAGGUGGGUAGUGUCAUCCCGAAGCAGUUGAGCUUCCCCUUUUGUCUAAGUUAUUCAUAUUGACUAUAUUCACAUUUUGACUUUAUGCAUGAUAGGGUAUUUGGUUAGUUGCAUUUCUAUUCUUGCAUGCUCCUAGGUAGUGUAGCAUUGAGGGCUUGACACUUGAACUUAGGGUGCAUGAGAACGAGCCAUUAUGACAUAGGACCCUAUAGUGAUAAAGAUAAGUGAUAACGUGGAACCAAACAUGGCCUUAGCUGAAAAUGUGAAUCAACUAGGAUUCGAACUUGGGUCUCGAGUACCAACCAUCAAGUCCUUUGCCACUUGCUCUAGGGACGGUCGGUUAAAAUUAAAUGUUAAAAGAGAGAAAAGUGUGUACUUGAUAGGUUACUAGUUAUGUCCUUGGUGUGAUCUUCUCGUUUGAGGCUUAUUGGAACCUUUUAGGCUUUAAUUUCUCUCUCUCUCUCUCUCUCUCUCUCUCUCUCUCUCUCUCUCUCUCUCUCUAUAAUUGUUGCUUGCGUUAAAAUGGUCGGGUAUGUCGCUGUACGUGUGAACUGGCCAUUCACAUGACCCAUGUGAGCCUCGUCCUGAAUGUUAUCUCCUUUGUCGCCCAACCAUGUCGCCCCAAUAUUCUCUCCACAUGAUGGCUCACUAUUUGGGAAUGCUAGGUUAAAAUGUACACAAAUCGCCUCGACAUUUUUUUGUGUAUUCUAAUAAAGUGAAAAAAAAAGUAAGUUACAUAGUGAUCAUUUGUUUAAUUUAACUAUUCUAAAUGUCUUUUCAACUGUGAAUUUGUCAAUUUUUAACUAUUAUAGUAAUCUAAUUAAUGAAGGGAACUCAAAUACAGAGAUCAAUUUAGGAGAAGUUGAGAAAUGUCAUUUCUUAAAACUCAUUUCUUAAAAUAAACAAUGGAGGGCCUUUUUCAUUAUGGCAUUUAAUUGAGGGGUCCUCGAUUAAUUUUUAACUUUGGAAAAAUCCAUUCCUUUCUCUUUCAUAAAAGUUGGACACACUGCCCUGGAAACUUCGUAAGAAAGAGAGUUUCUUUCCUUUGUUUUUAAAUUAAGAGUAGAGUUGAAUCAGGAUUUUAACUCCACAUGUGGUGUAUUUUGUGCAGGGCUUUAUUUAAUUUUAAAAAUUAAAUAUCUUCUAGAAAGUGUUUGGUUGAAGAUUAGCACCAAAAUAGAAGUAAACAAUCCUACUAUUCCAAUUAACAUUAUGAAAAAUUUCCAAAAUUUUUAUUUGGAAUUGGGAAGCACAUAGAUCCCAAUUCAUGUUGUUUUAGUUGGGGAUCGAGUUACAGGACUUUUACUCAAGGAUAUUUUGCAUAAGGUUUAGUAUUAUUUAACAACCUGCUUGGAUGCCUAAAUAUGUAAGUUAUCCAAUACAAAUCAUCUUACUCAUCAUUUUUAAGAUCACCAAAACUAUUUCUAUAAAUUUAAACCAAAGUCCUCUUUAAGGAAUCAAACAUCCUAAUUAGACUUUAGCUUCUUAUUAAGACAGAAAAAGAAAAUAUUAAAUAUAAAAAAAAUGAAUAUAUUGUUGUUUCACAACAAAAGCUUCUAGAAAAGAGUAUUAUUUGACUUAAUACACACUUUAUUUUCGCCUACCUUACAUAAACGCAAGUCUCUUUCAGUUUAUCGAGGGCUCAAUAUUACAUCUUAUCUUGACCAUCUUUUUUAUAUUGUUGUCAUAGAGAAUGCUCUAGCAGUCAAAUGUACAAUUUUUUUUUUCUCAAGCUCUAGCUAGAAUCCUUAUUAGGAUUCUUCUUCUUCUUCCUUUUCACGCGUAUUUAUUCAUACGCAAUUGACUCGAGACUAUUCUCUCACAUCAAAAUGCUUGGAGAUGUAACAUACGAUCAGGUCGCAGGUCAAAAUUCGACUACAAGGAGAAGAUUUAGCGCCACAUUCUAGAGCAGAUUAGAUUAAAUGAAAUUGAUUGCGACUUGUACGAUAAAACUCUGACAAUUCUUCAGCAACAUUCUCUAUUAGCUCUUUAGCCCGAUUCUUUGGCUUAUAUAUUACGUGAAUUACUAGCAAGGCCUUUGAUAAUAAAAAAUAUAUUUCCUUUUUUUUUUUCAUUUUUGUCCUAAGAAAAAACAGAGAAGGGCUUUUGAACCAUCAAUGCGUACGUAAUAGGCUAUUGAAUAUGGAAAAUACUUUAAUUUGAUGAGUACUCUAUAUUUUUUGAGAAUUGGUAGCGAAACAUAACGCUACCUGUUUCAUUCAUUGCAGAUAUGAAUUAGGCUACAGAGGUGAGGCAACCAGGGCCUCAAGAGAGAGAAAAAAAUAAUAAUAAUAAUAAUACUAAUAAUAAUAAUAAUAAUAAUAAUAAUAAUAAUAAUAAUAAUAAUAAUCGCAAUCAUAAAAGAUCUUUCCAAAAAUCAAUCAGCUGCUUACGCCUACGCACCACACAAGUCGGAUCUACUUGUUUGUUACGGAAAAUUAAGUCGUUUUUGGCUUUCCAAAUGAUCCACCAGCAUGCAGCCAAUUCCGCUAGACCGUUCCUCGUACUUUAUACCCCAUACCGUCCCUUCCACCUAUCCCAGACAGCAUGAAUAUCAUCACCCAGAUCCUCCGACUGAACAUCCUCGAGUCCCGCGACCAUGGUAAAUUUGAUACAGACGCAUUGGGUGAACAGAUGGUCCACCGACUGGUCAAAAACCCCACACAACGCACAAGCCAUACUUCCAGCAAUCCUUUCUUGCUGAGAUUGUCGACCGUAGGUGUUCUUUUCUUAAGAAAUAGCCAACAGAACACUUUGAUCUUAAGUGGAAUACAAAGUUUCCAGAUCAGGUUACCCCGUCCAUCUCUCGUGCCCCCGUCAUUCAUCAUUUGAUAUGCUGAUUGGACUGAGAAAAUAUCAUUGACACCCCAUCUCAAGCCUAUCCUGUCCUCCCCUUGCCCAAUAAUAAAACUAGUAACUCUCUCUUUGAGCUCCUGAAGGGUGGGGCCCAGGCUUGGCGGCUCUGGAGCCUCAACUCCCAGGAUCCUAUUCCAAUUCCAGUCUUCGGCUCCAACGCAAUCCCUAACCAAUAAUGAUUUGCAGUCCACCUGCGUGUACACCUCCGAGAAAGCCGCUAGAAGUGUGGUAUAUCCACACCAUUUGUCCCGCCAAAAGUCGAUCGAUCUCCCGUUGCCCAGAAAAUAGUUGAUCCCCCAUUUGAAAAUACCUUUAGUGGUUAAAACUCCUUUCCACCACUAUGAGGCAGGCCUGAAUCCUCUUCCCUCCCAAAGCGGCCUUCUUCUGAGAUAAAAUAAGGCCCGGAUAAUUUUAAUCCACGGCAAAUGAAGUGCAGUAUGAAAUCUCCACCACCAUUUGACUAUAAGCGCCUUAUUUACGUCAGCCACAUCUAGAAUGCCUAGUCCACCGACCCUUCUGCUCCGACAGACGUUCUUCCAAGCAACCAGGCACCCCUUACCAGGGUGGUUGCUUUGGCCGGUCCAGAAAAAAUCUCUGCAUAAAGCUUCGAUACGCUUGAUCACCCAACUAGGUGCCUUGAACACGGAGAGAAAGUAGAGUGGUAGGUUAGUAAGCACCGCAUUGACCAGGGUGAGUAUACCCCCUCUCGAGAGAAGUUUGGCCUGCCAGCCAUCGAUUCGGUGCUGCAAUUUCUAAAUAACCCCUCUCCGCACCUCCUUAGUAGGCGGUUUAGCAGAGAGGGGGAACCCCAAAUAAGUGGUGGGAAGAGAACCAACUCUACAGUCAAGCAAUCGCGCAAGUCUCGCCGCUUUGCCCUCGGUCCGUCCCAGAUAAUAGCGCUCGGACUUAUCUCUGUUGAUUUUCAACCCAGACGCCCACUCGAAUAGGUUCCACAUAAGUCGCAGAUUUCUCAUAUACCGUUUUCUAGCCACGGAGAAAAAAAAGUAUCAUACACGAACUGUGUAAGGAUCGUUAUACUCUAGUCUCGUCUGAAGGAUUAAUACCCUUGAAGAGGUUGUUUAUGGUGACCUUGUUGGUUAGUCUAGCGAAGCAUUCCGCCACCAACAGAAAAAGGAAUGGUGAAAGAGGAUCCCCUUGACGUACACCCAUUUUAGUUUUGAUCCAGUUAGUCGCCUCCCCGUUGACCAAAAUUGUUACUGUAGCGUUGCAUACACAUUGUUUGAUCCAUCCACACCAUUUCUCCUCCAACCCCCACCAUUGUAGAAUACUGAAAAGGAAGGGCCAAUAUAUCCUAUCAUACGCCUUUUUCGAAAUCCACUUUUUUGCCAACCCCCUCCAUAGCUUCCCUAGUACCCCAGCCAAUUAAUUCGGAUACGGUUACAUACGCGUCAGUAAUAUUUCUCCCUUUCAAGAAAGCGGACUGCGAGGGAGAGAUUAGCUCGUUCGUUCAUUCCCUAGUACUCUAUAUUAAUGUCAAUAAUUUCAUAAAAAAAAUGUGUACCUUUUUUUUUUUUUUGAAUGACUCAAAUUAGACCGCAUUUCUUGCAUUGGCUCAUUGGAGGAAACAAAACCCCAUGAAAGGAAGAGAUUCACCAAUUACAGUGGUGGUAGAAUUGAAACUAACAGGUAUUUAAUUGCUCUGUGUUUGGCUUGUCCUUAUUCAACAGAUACACGGAAUGAAAAGCUGUUGAUAUUAGCUGUGACAGAGGAGGCGCCAAGGGGCCCGCUGCGCUGUUCGGAAGAAAAUAAAGCGAAUUUCUUUCUCUAGCUAGACAUUAACUACUUAAUUUGGUUCAAUGAUUUAUUCUAGAAGCAUCGAGAAGGUUCUAUCUUUGGUUUUAAAUAACUGCCAAAUAAGCUAAUGGCCUGGCCCUUUUAUCCCGCUUUAGGCCCAAGUACAAUAGAGGCUCAUUCCCAGCCCAAGUAGGCAUUUGAAGGCUACUCGAGGAGCUAGCACGACUAAAAAAAAAAAGUUAAAUUUGAAGGCUCAAUCUCAAUUCUCAAACAUCCAUCAAUUUUUUUUUUCUUUUUUUGGUUAAAUUAGACUUAUAGUAGGAGGUUGGUUGGUAUUCCGAAUAUAAUUUUAUAGUUCAAGGAUUCGAAUAUCUAUGAUUACGAUUGAAAAUAUUGUAUAUAAUAAUAAUAAUAAUUGGAAGGACACAUACAUCGUAUUAACGGUAAACAAUGGUUAUUCAAAAUAAUCGAUCGUUUCAGAAUCUCUAUUAAGUUUCUCUUUUGGUCUCAAUGCAAAUGCCAAACUCUCAAGUUACGACAACAUGGGCGCUAAAACCAUUGGAGAGCUCCUUAACAGCAUCUUCAACCUUCUCCUCCUCUCCGUAGCGUCCCGCCAUACACUCGAUCAUAUCAUCCAUAUUUCUAUAAGAAGACCCUCCCUCCUCCAUGGCCUUCUUCGCCUUCUCGGCCAACGCCUUCGCCCUCCGCCGCAUCUCCUCCCCUUCCUCUCCCUCCAUCAACUCCGACACCGCCUUCCUCAACUUCUCCUUCGUCACCAGCAGCGUCGAGUCGUCCGUGACGUGCGUUCUCGGCACCUUCACGUCGAGGGAGCGCCCGAUCUUCAAAACGUCGACGACCAACUUCUCGUUGAGGAACUGGUCGGCGAAGUGCGGCCAAGUCAGCAUCGGCACCCCCGCGGAGAUCGCCUCCAGCGUGGAGUUCCAUCCGCAGUGCGUUAGGAAGCCGCCGAUCGCGGGGUGCAACAGGAUCACCGUUUGUGGAGCCCAACCCUUUAUGAGGAGGCCCCUCUCUUUAGUUCUCUCUGCAAAGUGCUCCUCCGAAAGCCACUUCUCCACCUCGGGGACUAGCUCGGCUUCUUUCACCACCCAUAUGAAGGACCGGUGAUCGGAGCAUUCUAACAACCCCUUUCCGAUCUCGAUGAGCUGCGUCGGUCGCAUGAGCACGAGGCUGCCGAAGCUCACGUAGAAGACGGAGCUUGCGCCCUUCCUGUCGAGCCAGGUGGUGAUGUCGCGGUGGUCGACCGCAGCCUUGUUCCCGCGCGCGGCCUUGCUGUCGACGUCCUUGCUGUAGAGGCACAGCGGCCCCACCGUCCACACCUUCUUUUGCAUGAUCUUCUCGUAGCAGUCGACGAAUGAAGGCUCCAGAUCGUAGAAGGUGUUGAUGACGACCCCAUCGGCGGUCGACUCCGCCUCCAGCACCUGUUCAGUGUAAAAUAUUAAAAUAUAUAUAUUAUUCACUAAGCGGUAUAUAAUUAGAUUAAUUAAAUCUUUUUUCCAUAUAUAAAAUGUGUAGGGUACUCUAGAAACAUUCAAACGUUGUAGAAAUUCAGCGACUUCUAAGUUCGCGUACAUAAUAGCUUCGAUCGAGUGGUUAAUUAAUUAGUCGGGAAAAUACCUCAGCCCGGAGGUCCUCCCACCCAGACCAGUUGAAGAAGCCCGGGGACUCGGCUUUGUUAGUCACGACCUCGACAGGCACAUCGGGCACGACAACGGGCUCGAACUCGUGGGUAACGCGGUCGUAGACACGGUGCUGGGCCAUGUUAUAGGCGCAGAGGAUGUAGAAGCAGGAGGGGCCGUGGAAGAGGAGCCGCGGGAUCCCGAGCCGACGAGCCACGUCCUUCGUCCACCCGUUGCACAUGUCGGCAAUCAUGCAAUCAGGGCGCCGGUGUUGGCUCCGCAGAAGCGCUUCUAUGGGUUCCUUGAGCAGCUUCAUGGCGUCAAAGAAGGCCUUGUAGUGCUCCAGGGUGGAGAGGAGGUCGAUGUUCUCGGACCCCUCGGGUAGGCCGAACUCGGCGCAGGGGAACCGGAGCUCGACGAACUCGACGGGGAGGUUCGACCUUCUGACCCGGUCGAUGAUGGUCCGGAUGCGCGCGGCGUUGACCGGGGUGGUGAUGAGGGUGACGCGGACGCCGCGCUCCGCGAGGAGGCGCGCCAUGUCGACCAUGGGGAUCAUGUGCCCCUGCGCCGCGAGAGGAACCAACACGAAGUGCGGAGUUACGUCCUUCAUUACUUCGCGCGAGUACGCAGAACCAACUAAUUAUGCGCACGUACGUACUGGAUAAUAAGGAGUCGACUUAUGAUGUUGACGACGAUGGAGAUCUAGAGGAAGGGGAGAGACUAUAUAUAUAUAUAUAUAUAUAUAUAUAUAUAUAUGUUUUGUGUGUGUGAGCAAGCUUGCAUUGUGCGUGUGAUUGUGAGAGUUGCACGUGUAAGCUUCGGAGAUCACACGGACAUGGUUGGAUGGCUAGGAGGUGUUGGGGGAGAGGAAGAGUGGAGAAGUGUGGUUAGGGGGAUUGGGUUAGGCUCGUGGCGUAGCCAACUAGGCUGAGGGCGACGUGGACCACGUGGUUUCUAUCUCGUGACGUAGGCUCCUACUCGUGCUAAUUUGUCGCGGAUCUGAAUCCGAGGCGGAGUUGCAGUCGCAUUCUGGUGGAAAGCUAUUUUAAUGCAAAAUUGAGGUCGGUUGUUUAUUCCGUAGGGUUUCACGCCACAUGAUAAUAAGGACAAUUAUAUGAAGAUAAAACAAGAUUUCCUUUUUCUUUAUUUGUCCUGUAGAGAGGGUAAACGUAGGGCUCUUAAUUAAUUGCAUUCCGUUCCAUCCCACACACCAUCCGAAUAUAUCUUUACUAUUCAUGAGCAACAUGACUAUUCGGUACGUUAAUUCUUUUAACGCCAAACAAAUUUGGGAGAGAAAGAUUUUUAAAAAAUAUAACACGUUAUCAAGUUUUGUUUAUUAAAAAAUCACAUCAGUUGGGUGACUAGAGUUUUAGAAAACGAAGAUCUAGAAAACAAGAGGAAAUGGAAAAGAUAAUACUCUACACUUAUCCACCGACAAUAAAUUAACCUCGCCAAACAAAAUACAGCCCACUGUGUCACCGAACUCUUUUUUAAGCCUGCGCCCCUAUUAAUUGCUCCCACCUUAGUUUUUUAUGAAAUCGUCUUUAGAGAAUUAUACGUUUAUAACAGACUAAGUACACUUUGUACUCAUUCUGUAUAUGUAACUCUCAUCACAUUAGAAUGAAACGGAUAGCAAGGGCAAUUAAUUGCAACUAGUAAACUUGACCAUCCACCGCGAGAAAUCUAAUUAUGGGAUGCUUAAUUUCCAGUGACAAUAGCACUUUUCUCCUUCAGUUUAUGUUGAAUAAUAUUUUAUACUUACAUAAAUAUUGGUUAUAUAUAUAUAUAUAUAUAUAUAUAUAUAUAUAUAUAUACAUACAUUAAUGUAAUAAUAUAGAGUACAAUCUAUGACUACGUACUUACAACUCCAUCUCCAUCUAUUAUAAUAAUACUAGUUUCUCUUUUACAUCCUCAAUAUCCUUACUCUCCCCUUCACGCCCCAGCAUAACACUCUGUAUCAGCUCCGCCGUGUUCACGUACGACGAACCACCCUCCUCCAUCGCCUUCUUCGCCUUCUCCCCCAGCUCCUUCGACCUCCGCCUCCUCUCCUCUCCCUCCUCCCCUCCGUCCAUCAACCGCUCCACCGCUCUCUCCACCUCCUCUCGCUUCACCAGCGCCACCGAGUCCUCGUGUAGAACGGAGGUCGGCAUCUUCGCCCCGAUGGACACCCCGACGCCGAGGACGUCCACGACCAGCCUCUCGUUGAGGAACUGGUCGGCGAAGCGCGGCCACGUCAGCACGGGCACGCCCAUGGCGAUCGCCUCCAGCAGGGAGUUCCAGCCGCAGUGCGUGACGAACCCUCCGACGGCCCGGUGGGAGAGGACGGUCAGCUGCGGGGACCACCCUUUGACCACGAGCCCCCUCUCCCGGGUGGCCUCCUCGAACUCGUCCCGGAGCCAGGCGCCCAUCUCGGGGACCAGCUCGGCGCUCUUUAUCACCCAUAUGAAGGGCCUCUGCGACGCCGCCAACGCGGCCCCGAUCUCGACGAGCUGCGCCUGCCGCGAGAGCGCGAGGCUGCCGAAGCUCACGUAAACGACGGAGCCGGGCUCCCGGGUGUCGAGCCAGGCGACGACUCGGCGGUGGUCGACGGCGGCGCUGUUCCCGCGCGCCGCCAUGCCCUCGGCGUCCUUGUUGUAGAGGCAGAGGGGCCCCAGCGUCCACACCUUCUUCCCCAGCGCCUUCUCGUAGCACUCGAUGAACGGGCGCUCCAGCUCCGCGAAGGUGUUGACCACGACCCCGUCCGCGGUAUCCUCGGCCGCGAUCGACUCGUCGCGCUCGGUCUCCCACCCGGGCGAGUUGAAGAAGCCCGGGGCCUGGGCCCGGUUCACCUCGACGCGCACGGGCACCUCGGGGACCACGAAGCGCUCCGAGUAGUCGGUCACGCGCUCGUAGACCCCGUGGCGCAUCAUGUUGUAGUCGCAGAGGGAGUAGAAGCACGAGGGCCCGUGGAACACGAACCGCGGGAUGCGGAGGCGGCGCGCCACGUCCGCGGUCCAGCCGUUGCAUCCGUCGGCGACGAUGCAGCUGGGGCGCGGGGAGCAGGCGCGGAGGUAGCGCUCGAGGGGCCCACGGAGCAGGCGCAGGGCGUCGAAGAAGGUCCGGAACCCGUCGUGCUGGGUGAUUAGGUCGAUGUUCUCGUGGCCCUCGGGGAGGCCGAGCUCGGCGCAGGGGAACGGGAGCUCCUCGAAGGCGACGGGGAGGUUCGACCUGCUGACCCGGUCGAUGAUGGGGCGGAUGCGUGCGGCGUUGACCGGGGUGGUGAUGAGGGUGACGCGCGCGCCGCGCUCCGCGAGCAGGCGCGCCAUGUCGACCAUGGGGAUCAUGUGCCCCUGCGCCAUCAGAGGAACCAGCACGAANCUCCGCCCUCCGCUCCCUCCGCCGCUCCCUGCCCCGCCGCCUCCGCCUCCCCCUCCCCCUCCGCUUCCGCCUCCCAGGUCAUGGUGCUGUGUUCUUCGUCUCGUUACUAAACUCUGGCGCUACCUCGAUCGCCUUGUCGCUGUUAAUUAUUUGUGCUAUUUUUUUACGAUAUUUAUGGCCAUGGUUGGCGCUCGUUAUAUAGUUGCACUUGUCGUGAUGAACAAGAAACAGUUUCCUGGACUAAGUAUAUAUAUUAUUUUUUUACUGAUGAAAUAUUCAUAGAAGUUUGUGUAUAUUUUUUGUCUUUUCGUCUGUUUUUUUUUUUUUGGUUUCAGUCUAACAUAUUUGAAUCUUAGGACCAUAGCCUACCAUUGACCAAGUGUUCCGAGAAACCGACUCGAUCUUUCAUCAUCCGACAAUUUGCAUCAACUCAUUUUGUUUUCUAAGUUGUCAGCACAGACGACCUGUGGUCCACGCAAAUACUUCGUCGGGAACAACCGGAAACGAUAAGGUGAGUGGAGAUGCACAUGACCCUGGUUAGAAAAAAUUCUAGAUUAAUGAAUGCAUCUUUUAGGGGCGUUUAGUUGGAUGUAGUUAUAAAAAUAAUAUAGUUAAAAAUACAUACAGUUAUAAAUACAGCAGUCAUAACUAUAUCUAAUCUGUUUGGUUUUAUACAAUUAUAACUGCUACAGUUAUAUUUCUUCUAUUUGAUAUUCUGUAAUUAAGAUUUGUAUUUGUAAAUUCUGUCAUUUUUAGAUAGAAAUAGGAGAUUACUUUUUCUGAGCAUAAAGCAAUUAUACUUUAAUUAUUAAUUAAAACUUUUAUAUUUAUAUAUAAUUUAUAUAUUAUAAAAUUAUAUAUGAAUUUAAUAAAAUUUAAAUAUAAAUAUAUUAUAAGUUUGGUCAAAAUAAAAAUUAAGAUAUUAUUAAACUAGCAUACUGAAAAAUAAGAAGCGUAUAAAAAAAAUUUAUUGACCUUAACAGACAUUAAUGUCAGAAUUCAUAAAUAUGUAUUUUUAGAAAACAAAAUAAAAGAAAAGGGUAUGAAAAAAAAAAUCGCAAUUUGUUUAUUUUUUUAAUGGGUGAGCCGACUCUCGCUCAACUGCUGCAAUUGGUACUGUGGCCAAUUUGGCUGCAGUGUCAACUGCUACAGUUGGGCCUUCACAUGUAGAUGCAAAUGCAGCAACUAGGCCUAACCGCAUCAAACCAAAUAAAAAAUUAAUAGAUGUAUGCAUUUCGAACUGCAAUGCAGUUGGAAAUGCAUACAACCAAACAGCCCUUAUAGUGGUAACGUGAAGUUCCCUAAUCAAAUAGUAUUUUUAAAUUUUUUUUUUUAAGUAUAAUUAUAAAAAACUAUUUUUAUUAUAUAUAUAUUUUUAAAAUGAGAUAUUAUUAAUUUGUUUUUGAUAAUGUGAUGCAGGUACGACAUAUAUAAUAGACUUCUACUUUGUUAGACUCUUGGGGCCGCGAUGUGGUCGGGUCGCGUGCUCACCUGUGAUCUGACCCGAGCUAAAUUGUCGAGUAUGCGCAUGCUUCCGUGUGCAAGUGGCUUGACGACCACUUAUUUUGUUUGGAGUAUCCGCCGCCUCAAUCCGAGCCUCCCAUACAUAAUCCUCUUUUUUUUUUUUUUUUUUUUUUUUUAUGCUGAAAAAAUUAAUGGAUAGAAAUGUUAAAUUUCAUUCAUCUAAGAAUCAAUAUUUUCAUAUUAGUCUUAUUAAUUUUUAAAUAUUAAACAUUUAAAAGGAGUGAUUAAACUGUUGGUUGCUUCGGUCUAAAAUUUACACCAUAUUUUUUGGUAUACAAGUAGCUAGCAUUUCUCUUCUUAUAUUGUUGCCUAAGAAGUAAAUUAUUUUUUCUCAAAAAAGAAAAAGAAAAAAGAAGUAAAUUAUUUGAUUUGUAAUUUUUGAGCCUAUUACAAAUAUAACACCCCUAUUAUUGUAUUGGUACUUAAAUAAUUAGAUAUUAUUACUUGAUUAAAUAUUAUUUAUAUAUAAUAAUAUGUUAAAUCUCAACGCCACUCAUCCAUAAUUGUAGAAAUUACUCAUUGGAUGGAUAGUGUGUAUGAUUUACAUCUAGUUUUUAAAUAUAAUUAAGGAUGGUAUUGUUCUUAUAUAGAAAUAAUUAAUACUUGCAUUUAUUAUUGAGAUUUAAAUUUUACUGCUUGUAUAUUUAUUAUUGAGAUUUAAAAUUUACAACCUCUAUUUUACAAUUUAGACAAUUUUUUUUAUAUAUUUUUACAAUUUUAGGAAAAAAAAAAGAGUUGUGUGAAAAAAUUGACAGCUGAAUGAAAAGAUUAACAUAAAUAAUCAAAAGUCAAAAAAUUAUAAAAAUGUGUUACGUAAAGUGUGUGUGUAAGAUCGUGGAAGCCGUCGUUUUGGUAGUUCAUAUUCGAAUUCGAUCAAAAUCAAUAACCAGUAAUAAUCUCUCUAAACGUUCUAACGUUGCAAUCACCUUUAUCAGUAACCUUUUUUUUUUUUUCGGUGGCGACGGAAUUGUCGAAUGGAACAAACAAAAAUAAGGACAAACUCUCAAUAGAAAAUGAAUGGAUUUUCAUUUCUGUUUAUAACUUUAUAUGUAUUUUUUAAUGUAUAAUCAAGCGACAUAGAAUAUCGUACCAAUCUCAGUCGCGUGUUUUCGUCGCUUUAUGCUAGUUGACAGAUAAAACUGUUGGUUACAUUUAAGAUGUGUUUGAUUGUCUUUAAAAAUACUUAACUUUUUUUUUUUUUUGCUUAAAAAAUAGUUUUUUCAUGUUCGAUUGCCGUAAAAAAAUUUUCUGAAAAAAAUUUUUAUGGAUUCUGAAAAAAAAAAUAAAAUUUUCGUUUUCCACCCACCGUCGACGAAAAACGAUAACUUGCGCUCGAAAAGCACGGCUCACAGCGGUAAAAAAUAUAUAUAUGUAUAUGGUUCACAAAAAAAGCUUGGCUCUUGUGGAACGCGUGAGUGGUCAAACUGUCGAGCACUCACCCACUCCUCUUUUAUAUAUAUAUAUAUAUAUAUAUAUAAAAUUAGGCUGAAAUGCUAUUAAUAGCACGAAGCUAUUGGUGCUAUUAAUUUUUUAGUCCUUCAAUUGAGAAAUAUGCGGUUAAUAUGAUGUGGACCCCCUGAGUUUGAAUAGAUAGUUUGUUAAAUAGUAUAAUCUAAUAGGUAAAAAUAAUAAAAGAGUUAAAUCUAAUGGUUGAAAACUCGAUAGCACCAAACCCUUGGAGCUAUCGAUAGUAUCCCAGCCGAACUCUAUAUAUAUAUAUAGAAUUAAGGCUGCUGCACUAUCUAUAGUAUCGGAGCGCCGGUUCUAUAGUCUUGUUUUCGAUCUUAGGGUGUUCAAAUUAAUGAUCCACAACGUUAAAUAUGAUUUAGGGUAUAUGAAGUUCUUAGGAAUAAAAUUUUAAUUUUUUUCGACAUCGUUUACUUAGUAAAUAAAUUAUAUCAAAAUAGACGAUAAAAUUUGAAUAAUCUUUAAAAUUUGAGCAUAGGACUUUUAAAUUCAAUAUCAAGAAUGUUAACCUUAAUCCAGAUAGUUUAAAGUAUUUUCUAUCAGCUUUAAUUUUAAUCUAGAUAGUUUAAAGUAUUUUCUAAAAACUCUAAAUACCCUAGAUCAGUUUUAACGGUGUGGAUCGUUGAUUUGAAUACCCUAAGAACGAAAACGAGACUAUAGUACCGAAGCCCCGAUACUAUAGAUAGUAUAGGAGACUAUCGCUCUCUCUCUCUCUCUCUCUCUCUCUAUAUAUAUAUAUAUAAACAUGUAUUUUAAAUUUCGGACUGUCGACAUACUUUUUUUUUGGCGGAAAAAAAAGUAAUUUCUCUCUCUUUGCUUAAAAUAAAUAACAGAAUUAAAUGAAUUUUUAAUUCGUCUUUAUUUCUACAAUAGAAAAAAAAAUUAUAUUUAUCCAAAUUUUUGCUAACCGGAGAAUAUCUAUUGUUAAUCUAUAUUUUGAUUCAAAAUUUGUUUUAAUCUUCUAUUAUAUAUAUAUAUUAUAUAUAUAUUAUAUAUAUAUAUAUAUAUACUAUUAUAUAUAUAUAUUAUAUAAUAUAUAUAUAUUAAUCUUUACUAUCUACUAAUAUUUUUAUAUACCUUUUAAUUCAUUUUUAGGUUAAAAAUAUAUUUAAAUCUUAAUUUAUAGAAUUAAAAAUUAUAGAAACAUUCGAAUUCUAAUAUUUAAUACUCACUGUUAGUAUAAUUUUAUAAAAGUAAAAAACUAUAUAUUAUUUGCUACACAUAUUUAGAUUUGAGUUAAGAUAUGGAAUGUAUUUAUCUAAUAGUGUAAUAUAAUAAAUUAUUUUUUUAAUUAUUUGUAAUUUUUUAAUAAACAUAAUGUACAAUUUCAUAUUAAUUUAAAAUAAUUAUUAAAUAAUUAAUUAUUACGUGUAUUUGAACGUACAAUCAACUAGUGUAUAUUAUAUUUUUAUUUAUAAAUAUAUAUUUAUGAGAUGUUAAAAAUUAUUAUACAUAUUUAUAAAUAUUUAUUUAUUUAUUAUAUAUAUAAUAUUUUUUUUAUAAAUUUGUAAUUAUUUAUUUAUAUUCCUAAAUAUAUUAUAUAUGAUGUAACAUGUUUAUUAUAAUUUUUUUUGGUUAAUUACAUACACGUCCCAACAAAUAUAGUGAAUUACAUAUAUAUUUCUGCAAAGCUCAACUUUCAUAAUUUGUCCAACAGGUUAGGAUCCGAUAGAGAACUGUUAAUUUUUUAACAGUAUGCUCGUGAAAUGAUAUUUUUACCCUCACAAAUAUGUCCCUCCAAAAGUACUCUAUCUUCCUCUUUCUCUUCCUCUUCGGGCUGUGGGAGCGGAUGGCGGUGGCGGUGGAUCAUCGACGACGACGACAAAGAAGAAGUAGGAGGAGAAGAGAAGGAUACAAAGAAGAAGAAGAAGAAGGAGGCGGCGGAGAUCGGAGGUGCUCGGAAGCGAGGGGGUUCGUGGCGAGGUUGGAGAGGUCGCCGACGGCGGAGGGGCGAGGUUGGAGAGGUCGCCGACAACGGAGGGAGGCGAGAGGCGGCUGCGGCGACGAUGCAACACCAAGCGCGGAAGCAUCGCGCGGCAACGGCGGUGGAAGAUACGGCGGAGAGGAUGCGGCGGAGGUCGGCGUUGGCGGCGCUUCGGCGAGGUCGGGGUCGUGUUCGCCGGCGACGAAGAAGAGGGAAGAGGAAAAAGGAGAGGAAAAAGAAAGGGGAAGAGGAAGAGGAAAGAGGAAAAGGGAGAGUGUUCGCCGCCGCAUCUUCUCCCUCGUUGGCGACGAAGCAGAGGGAAGAGGAAGAGGGAGAGGAAGAACAAAGGGGUAAAAUUAUCAUUUCAUUUAUUAAUUAACCAUAGUUAAGUAUUUUAACUGUGGUUAACGAAAUUUCUCUAACAGAAACUAACGGCAGGGGCAUUUCUGAAUACGUACAUUAGAACUUUUGUAGAUACAAAUUAUGAAAGUUGAACUUUACAGGUAUAUAUAUGUAAUUCACCAUGUUUGCCGGAACAUGUAUGAAAUUAACCCUUUUUUUUUAGAGAGAUAGGUAGCACGCUACCCGCUUCGGUACCGAUUUCCAAGCUCUUUGUCACUUGCUCUAUAUUAUUAUAAUUCUAAAUAUAUUUAAUCUCUAUAUAAAAAUUAUAAUAAUAUAUAAAAUAUAUUAAUUAUUAUAUAUUAAUAAUAUAUUUAAUAAAAAAUAUUAAAUAGUUUUUUAUCCAUUUUUUUUCUUUUUAACCAAACAACCAUCAUAGAAAAUAAUUUUUUUUUUCCUACAAGCUAAACAUUAACGACGUAAAACCGUUUUUGUACUGAAAAUUUUUUUCCACCGAAAUUUUAUUUUCCACAGUUUUACGUGGAACCAAACACACCCUUAGAGUUAAUUACACUACUAUAUUAUAGUUUAUUUUUUUUAUUUGUUAUAUUAUAUUAUUUUUUAAAAGACACUGUUAUUAUGUUUUAUUAAUUUCUGCCAUGUAUUCUAGAUUUAUUUUUAUUUUUCUUGUUUGUACUUUUUUUUUUCCUAUCAAUAUCACUAAAUUAUUUUUUUUCUUACUAAUCGCUAUAUUACUGAUAAUAAAUUUAUUAUUUUAAACAAAAUCUAACAUCUUAUUAAGAGACACCGGUGAAAUAAUAAAAAAUAAAAUAAAAUAAAAUAAAACCUCAAUGAUAGACUUGUUGAAAAUUUUUAUCAAAAUAUUUUCUUGUAUUCAAGUUUCAAAUAUAUACCAUUUUGUAGGAAAUUUCGUGCCAUUUGUGGCUCGAAGUAGGAAUUAACAGGAGCCAAAUUUAUACCAAAGUCCAAAUUGGCCUCUGCAGUUGGGAUAAAAUUGAAGAGAAUUGAAAGUUGCAAUUUGAAUUUAGUCGUGGGACGACGGAAGUGAAGAGGGGCCGGCGGGGGCCAAGGCAUCUCAACUAUUAGAAGAAUCUCUACAGAUGUGUAAUUUUCUAGAAUAAGCUUCUAAAUUCUACACAGAUGUGAAAAAUAAGAAAAGAUUGCUUUAUUGGUGAGACUAAUUAGAUCAAUCCCAAAAAGUCACCGCAUGUUUAGGAAUAUUAUCUUUGAAUAUGAUUUUUUUUUGUAAAACUCAAUAUGGUUUGAUUAUCCACGUACCUACUGGAAACAAGUCUCCAUGUCUACACUUUGAAUUACUGCCUCGUAAAUUUCUUGCGCAAGAUUGUUACAUGACCAUGAGAUGGCGUAUGUCGUAAAAUGAAGUACAUGUAGCAAAAUCAUCCUAACUUUGAUCGCUAUAAAUAAGUGCAAAUUUUAUAAUAUCAAAAAAGGGCAAAACCAUGAUAUGCGCUUACGUCUCCACUUCAAGUUUCGGCUUCACCUAACAAAACAUUUGCACAUGCAUAUAUGGAUCACAUGCCAUGCGCUAUACUAUACGCUGGGCUUAGCCAACCUGCCAACGGGCACAAGAUAUCAGAUUAAUAUAUGCCUAAUUGUUAUAGUCGCGCCCUUAAAUGUUUUCUUGUGCGCUAAAAAUCAUGCGUGAGAAGCGUUAAUAAUUUUGGUGCGUCAGAUUAAUUAAUAUAUAUAUGCCUAAUUGUUAUAGUUGUGACACAGAAGCAAGCAGCAUUUACCAAGUUAAAAUUGUGUAUGCCGCGGAGAAGCAGCGAGGUGCACGACUCAUACAGUAAUUUUGAUGCUUAUGUCGGAGCAUGCGUAAGCUACGUCGCUUUCCUCGCGAUCUUACUAAAAAACCGAGUAUUCUUGCACGUCUAUUAUAUCCCAUCUAAGAAAAACACUUUGAAUCUCUUACUAGUUAUGUACCUUAUAUUAUAUUGUUGGUGUGUUAAUAAUUUUGGUAAGUACUUUUAUGAACAAAUCAUUUUCUACAUUAUACAUACAAGUAUAUUGAUAAUUUAUAAAAGCAGUAUUUUUAAAAAAUUUGUAUCAGUAUUUUUUUAUUUGAUUCAAAUUUAUAAUGCUGUUUGUCUUGUUGAUACAUAGGUAAUGUAAUAAUAUAGAAAACCAAGAAGGAAGCUCUUUGUAAUUGUCGGGACACUCCAAAUUAAUAAUUUUUUCGAAAUGCAGGACACACAAGCAUACAGCUCGUUAUGGCAAAUCACACCAAAAAAGGAACGUUCAUGAGUCCACAUUUGCAGAUAUAAUAAAUGAUAAGGCCUAAUAUAAAAUAAGGUUAAUGUCAUACAAAUUACUAUAAAUAUAGUAAAUGAUAAAUAUAUUUCAUACAAAUUACUAUAAAUAAGGUUAAUGUCAUACAAAUUACUAUAAAUAUAGUAAAUAAUAAAUAUAUUUCUAUAUAAUUUAAUUUUUAUAUAUUAUUUUUAUAAAAAUUAUAAUAUUUUUAAAUAUGUCUCUCUGAUUUAUUAUCGUUAGAAAACUAUUUUUUUUUUAUUUUGUCAUCACAAAUAUAUAUACCUAUAAAAGUCAUCACACUAUAAUAUAAAAAAAUAAAAAUAUCAAAAAUUAAUUAAAAUUAAAUAUUUAAUUUAUGAUUAACUAAAUUUUUUUAGUGUAUUCUAACGGUAAAAAUAUAUUUAAAAAUAUUAAAAUUUUUAUAAAAACAAUGUACGAGAGUUAAAUUUUGUAAAAGAAUAUUUAUUAUUCAUUAUUUGUCGAAGAAACUAUGAAAUUAAUUUUAAAAAAUAAUAUCAGUUUGACAGUGAACGAGGACAAUCAAUAUGACGUACGUACAUACAUCAUCCUUCAGAGUAUUUUUUUAUACUUUAUCCAUCACAUCAAAUCUAAUAUGCACGCACAAUCAUGGCUUAUAUACACAGUUUAAGCACUUCUCAGAUUAGCUUCCGAUAUUAUUUUCUUUUCUUAAAAGGAUAUUUUGUGCUAUAAAUACUCUGGCUUACAUACUUUUCAAGCUUUAAAAAUUUAGAAACGCAUUCACUAUACAAUAUUUAAGCUUUAUUUAAACGUGGAAAUAAGUUGAUGUAAAAGCUUAUUUAAUAUGAGCAUUUUUUUUCUAUAUAUAGUUGAAAGCUAAAGGAGUUUAAUUUUUUUUUACUUCUUAAAAGUUGAAAAAAUUAAUAGAAAUAUAUUUGUUACUUACAAAAUCAUUUAUACUCGUAUGGAUCACAAAUCCAUGGACACCAGUCGACGUAUCCAUUACCGCGACAGGCAAGCACUUCACAGAGCGCACAGAGAGGCGAGACACAUGUAUAUCUGGAUUAUUGUUUGUCUUAUUAUUUAUAUGUACAAAAAAUCUGUCUAAUUAAUUAACUUAUCUGUUGCUACUACUAUUCUUCCGCCGCCCCUCUUUUGUUUGCGCACAAACACCUGCAUAUAAAUAUAACAGCACAAGCAAUGCGAGGUGGUAUCAAAAAUCCACUUCUAGCUAAAUAGUCUCUUUGCGUUACUUAAACUUUAUAUAUACAUAUCGACGUAGCGGCGCUCGCGCGCGCACAACUCGACUUAAUUUCGAUAUAAUUGCCAAAAAUGGCCAAGAACGGCGACUCCGAUCACGAGGAGAAGGCCCACUUCGUGCUGGUCCCUGUGAUGGCCCAGGGCCACACCAUCCCCAUGCUCGACAUGGCCCGCCUCCUCGCCGGCCGUGGCGCCGCCGUCACCUUCGUCACCACCCCUCUCAACUUCGCCCGCAUCAAAUCCCUCGCCGACUCCGUCGCCAACUCUGGCCUGCCGAUCCACUUCCUGCCCCUGCGCUUCCCGUGCGCAGAAUGCGGCCUGCCCGACGGCUGCGAGAACAUUGACGUGCUCCCGUCCAGCGACCUCCUCGCAAGCUUCUGGCGCGCCUGCGCCAUGCUCCGCGAGCCGCUGGCGAGCCACCUGCGCCACAACUCCCCGGCGCCGCCGACCUGCAUUAUAUCCGAUACAGGCCACCCGUGGACCGGGGACGUCGCACGGGAGUUUGGCAUCCCGAGGCUCUGUUUUCCCUGCUUCGGCGCGUUUGCCGCUCUCGUCAGGCACGUCAUGUACCGGUUGAAGAUAUUCGAGAACGUGGCCGACGAGAACGAGCCGGUUNAAAAUUUAUAAUUUUAAUGGCCGAUAUGGUGCAUUUGCUCGUUUAACAGUAUAUAAGGGUUCAAAUCAACUAAAUUUUUGUUAAAAAAUUUUUUAAACUAUUUAAAAUAAGAUCUAGACUCUAGAUUUCAAAUAUAAAAAUUGUAUCAUCAUUUUUUUAAGGAUAUUCAUAUUCCAGCCAUUCAUUUUUCUGUUCACUUGAUGGACAAGAGAACAAUAUCAAAAAUGUGUGAAAUUUAAUUUUCAGAUAGUUUAAAUAGUUUAGAUCAUAUUUAACGGUGCCGAUCAUCAAUUUAGAAGCUCUAUUAUCGAAAAUAAAUCGGUAGUAAACCGAGCCGUUCACUACCGAUAGUAUUCUAGCAAAACUCUCUCUCUCUCUCUCUCUAUAUAUAUAUAUAUAUAUAUAUUGGGUUUUAAAAUUUUAUAGCAUAAAAUUUCAAAUAUUAUAAAAUUUUUAAGUAAAUUCUUCGAAAACAAAAACACGUACGGACAAACCCAUCGACACCGGCCGACGUAUUCUUUACCGCGACGGACAAGCUCUUCACAGAGACAAGCCCACGCAGAGAAACGAGACACACACACACACACACACACACACACACACAUAUAUAUAUAUAUUUGGAUUAUUAUUUGUCUUUUAUAUAAUAUAAAAAAUCUGGCUUAUUAAAUAGCUUAACUGUUACUGCUACCAUUCUUUUAUUUAGCAAGCACAAGAAUCUUCUUACCUCUUUCGCUGCCCCUCCUUAAUAUUUUUGCGCACAAGCACCUGCAUAUAAAUAUGACAGAAGAAGCCAUGCGAGGCGGUAUCCAAAUCCACUUCUAAUAUAUAGUCUCCUUGCAUUAUUACUCUACUUUAUAGGUAUAAUAUCCACGUAGCACCACAAUCUCAUCGCUUGCACCAUCACGAGCAAUUAAUUAACUCCGAUAUAAUUACCAAAAAUGGCCACGAACGGCGACUCCGAUCACGGGGCGAAGGCCCACUUCGUGCUGGUCCCUUUGAUGGCGCAAGGCCACACCAUCCCCAUGCUCGACAUAGCGCGCCUCCUCGCCGGCAGUGGCGCCGCCGUCACCUUCGUUACCACCCCUCUCAACUUCGCCCGGAUAAAAUCCCUCGCCGACUCCGUUGCGAAAUCUCGUCUCCCGAUCCACUUCCUGCCACUGCGCUUCCCGUGCGCAGAAUGCGGCCUGCCCGACGGCUCCGAGAACAUUGACGUGCUCCCGUCUCGCUACUGCCUCGCAAGCUUCUUGCACGCCUGCACCAUGCUCCGCGAGCCGCUGGCGAACCACCUGCGCCGCAACUUCCCGGCGCCACCGACCUGCAUUAUAUCUGAUACAGGGCACCCGUGGACCGGGGAUGUCGCACGGGAGUUUGGCAUCCCGAGGCUCACUUUUCUUGGCUUCGGCGCGUUUGCCUCUCUCGUCAGGUACGUCCUGUACCGGUUUAAGAUAUUCGAGAACGUGGCCGACGAGAACGAGCCGGUUUCUGUUCCAUUUUUGCCUCAUCGGUUUGAGAUGACAAAGGCCAAGUCGCCGGGGAACUUCGGCGGGCCCGGGAUGGAGAAAUUCCGGGAAGUGGCGUUGGCGGAGGAGAGGAGAGCCGACGGCAUCGUGGUGAACACCUUUGACGAUUUGGAGGCUUCGUAUAUCGACGCCUACGGUCAGAUCACAGAGAAAAAGAUUUGGACCCUCGGGCCCCUAUCACUCUGCAAUAGGGACGUCGGCGAGACGGUGGCGAGGGGGAGCGCGUCAAAUGUCGACGUGAGCCAUUGCUUGCGCUGGCUCGACUCGAAGAAGCACGGGUCGGUCGUUUACGUGAGCUUCGGGAGUCUUGCUCGCACCAUGCCGGGUCAGCUGAUACAAGUAGGACUCGGGUUAGAGGCUUCGGAGAGGCCGUUUGUAUGGGUGAUCAAAGCCGGCGAUAGGUUCGCGGAAGUCGAGGAGUGGCUGAAGGCGGAGGGAUUCGAGGAAAGGGUCAAGGAUAGGGGCCUGAUAAUAAAUGGCUGGGCGCCGCAGGCGGCGAUCCUGUCGCAUCCGGCCGUGGGAGGGUUCAUGACGCACUGCGGAUGGAACUCGACGCUCGAGGGAGUGGCGGCCGGGCUGCCGAUGAUAACAUGGCCUCAUUUUGGCGACCAAUUUCUGAACGAGACGCUGAUAGUGGAAUCACUGAAAGUCGGGGUUCCGGUUGGGGUUCAACAGAUGACACAAUGGGGAGCGGAGGAUGCCCAAGCGUUCAUAAAGAAAGACGACGUCGAGACCGCGGUGGGCAAGUUGAUGGACGAAGGGGAAGAAGGCGAAGAGAGAAGAACGAGAGCGAGAGAGCUCGGAGAGAAGGCGAGAAGGGCCAUGGAGGAAGGGGGAUCAUCUUAUGAGAAUACCAAACUUCUCAUUCGAGAAAUACAGGCUAAAAAUGUGCAUGCGGAUGGGAAGUUAACAGUGUAGAAGGCGACAAGCUACCAUUCUGAACGUUUGUACUGAUAAAUGUUACAGUUAUUUACUACCCAAUGUGCCCAUGUUGGUGUUGGCAGCCAUUGCUUAACUAUUGUAAUCUUCUACCUUUCAGGUUAAUCUUCCUAUUGUACGUUUGUUCUAGCAUCAUAUUUAUAAACUACUAUCAAUUUUCAUAGAUUUCAAGUCCUCCUGGUGCUUUUAGAAAAAUAUUGAAAUCUGGCUCUCUUCUUAAUAAGUGUAUAAAGUAAUAUUUUGAUUAGUUUUUUUUUCUAAAUUAAAAUGGGGUUUAAUUAGAACGGGAGUGACCUCCCAUUGAAGACUUCUCAAACCUUCUCUCUCCAAUCCAACCGCCCCUCCGUCUCCUUUAUCUCUCUUUUCUUCAUAUUCUUCAUCCACCUGUUCGCCUCCCCUCCCCUUUUCCUCUACUUCCCUCUUCUUCUCCACCAUUUACUCUUCCCUACCCACAGCUCUAUUUUUUCACCUCAACAAUUUGGUGGGGCAACGCCUAUAUAUCCUCUCUCUCGCGUUCAUCCCCCCCACUCCCCAUGGCUCUAUCUUCUCUCUUUUAUUGUGGAGUUUUUGUGGAACCUGUACAAUGCGCUUCGGUGGUGUGGUCGUAGCGAUGGCGUUGGAGACCAAGACGGCAGCGGUGGCCACGAUCCGAGGCGACGGUGCAGCGGUUGCAAAGAUCGCCUUCUCGAAGGCCAACAUCAAGAAGUGGCGGUGUUCUAUCUUUUCUUUUUCCUCUUUCUUUUUUCUAUUUUUUCAUCUACUUUUACCCAUUUUACAGGAUUUGAGGACACGGGCGGCAAUGGUGGAGGCGAUGGUAGUGCAGAUCGAGGCGACGGAAGCUUAAGUUGAGUUGGAUUUUCCUAAAAAUCUAAUUUUAUUAAUGAAAAUCUAGAUUUUUUUAGUUUAGAUCGAAGAGAAUUGAAAGUUGCAAUUUGAAUUUCGUCAUGGGACGAUAGAAGCGAAGAGGGGCCGGCGGGGGCCACGGCAUCUCAACUGUUAGAAGAAUCUCAACAUAUAUGUCUAAUUAUCUGGAAUAGGCUUCUCUAAAUUCUACACAGAUGUGGAAAAUAGAAGAAAAGAUGGCUUCAUUGGUGAGACUAAUUAGAUCAAUCCCAAAAAGCCACCACAUGUUUAGUAAUAUUAUCUUUGAAUAUGAUUUUUCAAACUCGAUAUGAUUUUGAUUACCUACGCAUCUACUUGAAACAAGGCUCCAUGUCUACAGUUUGAAUUACUUCCUCGUUAAUUACUUGCGCAAGAUUGUUACUUGAGCAGGAGAUAGCGUAUGUCAUAAAAUGAAGUACAUGUAGCAAUAUCAUCCUAACUUUGAUCGCUGUAAAUAAGUAAAAAUUUAAUAAUAUGAGGUAAGGGUAAAACCACAAUAUCUCCACUUCAAGUGCGAGCUGCACCUGACAAAACAUUUGUAGAUGCAUGGAUCACAUCCCAUGCACUAUAACAUAUGUUGGGCUUAGCCAACCGCCACAACGGGCACAAGAUAUCAGAUUAAUAUAUGUCUGAUUGUUAUAGUCAUGCCCUUAAAAUGUUCUCUUGCGCGCUAGCAAUCACACAUGGCUCAUAUUGAUUGAUUUGUGGGUCUAGUUCGUCAGCAACAUUUCGGAGGAUAAUGAGAACAGAAGCUUUCAAUGCACGUACGUACACACAAAUUAAUGGACCAGGCUAUAUAUCCUUAGUAGGGCCUUGGCCCAAAAUCAUGAAGCAAAGCAUGAAUCAGAGUUUACGGCUUGCCACGAACGUGAAUGUUGUGAUACGGAAGCAUCAGUUACCAAGUAAAAAUUGUGCAUGCCGCAGAGAAGUAGCGAGGUGCACGACUCAUACAGUAAUUUUGAUGCUUACGUCGGAGCAUGCGUAAGCUACGUCGCUUUGCCAGCGAUCUUACUAAAAUACUGAGUAUUCUCGUGUAAAUUACGAGGAGCCCUAAGAUCUUUUAUCUAGAUACUAUCAAAUAUCUAGAGGGGGUGAAUAGGUAUAUAGGUCCAAAAUCAUAAAUCUUAAUGUGAUAAAAAAUUAAAUGCGAAAAAUAAAGAUCUCACCGAGAUUUAUGUAGAAAAUUCUACUUUGGAGAAAAAUUCACGGGACCAACACGUAAAAAAAUAAUUCACUAAGAUAGGUGAUUACCGACUCCACGGACUCGACCUCUUUUAAUCUUCUAUGAAUCUCGCGCAAUCCUCCGAGUUGUCCAUACCCUCACGUUCGAAUCCACGAACUUUUCGCACACAUCCGAAUUCACGGGCCCACGAUCCGAAUUCUCGAACCGCCUUCGAUCGCGCCGUAUCCAUAGCGCCGCACAUGAAGAAUAUCAUGAUUAUGGUGAUCCUUCACUUAGAGUAUCGAUAAAGAAUCAGAGAAGAAUCUCUAAGCGAAACGUUGAUCAAUUUAACAUAUAGAUAUCAAUUUACAAUAUCUCGAAUUGACCUAAAAGAAGUUAAUAUAUAGAAAAUAGAUUUAGAACGAAAACCUAGCCUCUAAGGUUUCUCAAACAUUUAUUCAGUCUCAAACAUUUAUGUAAAUUAGAGAACCCCAAUAACUUAUUUAUAGGCCUUAAAAUCAAUUAGAGUCGGAUUAGAAUCAAUUAGAAUCAAUUAGAGUCGGAUUAGAAUAAAUAUAAGGAAUUUUACAUGCGUACCGGUACUGCGUAAGUUGGUACCGGUACCACAUGACAAAACAGAAAAUUUCUCAAGCUACGUAUCAGUAUCAGACCAAUGCAGUACCGGAACCAGACUUCAGUACCGGUACCCUGCCAAUUCAGUACCUAUACUCAAUGCAAUUUCCAGAAUUGUAUCAUCUCGGAUUUCUCUCGAGUUUUGAGGUACUAUAAAGUUGAGGUACCGGUACCCCUUGUUGAAAACUUAGUUUUUCAAAUACAAUUUUGAAGAAUCGAAAACUGAUACCGUUACUCACAAUCAAAAACUUUUAUAAUCAAAUCAAAAAUACUAAAACCUACUUAUAAUCCAUAUUUCAUUGAGUUAUAUGAUUUUAAUGUCAUAAAUAAGUUUGAAUCACCAUAAUAUGAUUUAAAACCUUAUUUUAGUAUCGUGAUUCACGUAGUGAGAUGUUUCUGAAUUUUCAAAAUUUUGGAUUCUUUAAUUUUCGACAAUCACGCACCGAACCCGUCAAGACUCCGACUAAAAUAACGAAAUUUGCCAAUACAAAAUAUUUAAUAUCUUGCAUGUCUACUAUAUCGAAUCUAAGAAAAACACUUUGAAUCUCUAACUACUUAUAUACCUUAUAAUAAUAUAUUGUUGGUUUGUUAAUAAUUUUGAUUAGUACUUUUAUGAACAAAUCAUUUUCUACAUUAUACAUACAAGCAUAUUGAUAAUUUAUAAAAACAGUAUUUUUUAAAAAAAGUAUAUUAGUUUUUUUUUUAUUGAUUCAAAUUUAUAAUGCAGCUUGUCUUGUUGAUACCUUGGUAAUAUAAUAAUAAUAUAGAAAACCAAGAGGAAAGCUCUUUGUAGUUGUUGGGACACUCAAAUUAAUAAUUUUUUCGAAAUGCAGGACACGCAAGCAUACAACUUCGUCAUGGCAAAUCACACCAAAAAGGAACGUUUAUGAGUCCACAUUAACAGCUACAAUAAUGAUAACGCCAAUAUUAUAAUAUCGGGCGUGCUCUUAUCUUUUUGGCUGAUAUUCGAAUGGGUGAACGAGCCCACAAUCAAGAUGGACUACGUGCACACGUUCAUCUUUUCAGCGCCAACUUAGUCUCUUAUCUAUCACAUCUAACUAAUAUGCACAUCAUUAUUAUGAUAUACUUCAUAUCUAUUUCUACUACAUUAACAAAGAUUUUUAGGAACCUUAGGUGCCGUGUGUCUCCCAACUCUCUCUACUCUUCCUCCUAUAUAUAUAUAUACUAUAUAUAUAUAUAUAUAUCAAUAGUAUAUAUGUAUUUAUAUAGGGGAUAUAUAGAUAUAUAGUGGGCUUGUAUGCGUUUUGGAAGCCACGGAGCCUCGUUAGUUUCAAGUUAUUUUCGAUGGUUCGAACUUUCGAAUCGAUGUGUUCUGGUUCUCGUUAGAUUGAAUAUAGAGUAUUUGAAAUAUCUAGAAAAAAAUUUUUUGUGAUUUUUGAUAUCAUUUGGGCCCUAAUGAUCGAUGGGCCUCAAAUCAAUAAUUUUAAUAACCGUGUGAGCGUUUGCAAGUUUAACUUGGGCUUAUAGAAAAAAUAAUCAUGCGACAUAAAUUUUGAUGAAAAUUCUUUUCUUAUCCAUAUAACAGAUCAAUAUCUGUUUGAUCUAAAACUUUAUAAUGUCAUUCAUCAUAUUUAUAGUUUCUUAUUGCUGAUUUAAACCGACUUCGAUCACUAGGCAAAUGAUAUCGAAAAUCUCAAAUUUAUUUAUAGAUCAAGUUAACUAUCUGUCGAUUCGAAGAUUUGUGCGAACAUCGAAAUAAUUGGCAAGCACGGAAGCAAUCGGGCGUUUCCGUGCUUCCAGAAGCCAUACCGACGCACUAUAUAUAUAUAUAUAUAUAUAUAUAUAUAUAUAUAUAUAUAUAUAUUCGCACAAUGCAGUAAAUAUAAAAAUAUUUUUAUAAUAAAUUUUAUUUUUUUAAUAUUUUUAUUAUAGUUUUAUAAUCCUAAUUAUCAAUUAAAUAAAAAUUAUAUAAAAAUAAUUUAACAGUUAAAUCUAUUUAAAUAAAGUUUAUUAAAAUUAGUAUAUGUGCAAAGUAAAUUUAUACAAUAAUUUAUUUUAUAAAGAUUUAUAUGAAAAGAAUUUGAGAUAAAUCUAUAAAAAUAAUUUUUUUAAAAAAUCAAUAAAUAGAAAAAAAUUAAAAUUGUAGAAGAAAUUGUUUAAUAAAAAUUAAUUAUAUAUAUACACAUAUACAUUAUAUUUCUAAAAUUUUACUCCUGAAAUUUAAAUUCUGUAUUUUUUUAUAUAGAGAUAUUUUACGUGAUUUAAAUUGCAUCUAUCAGGUUAAAUUUUAUUACGCGAUUUAUUACGAAUAUUAUUAAUAAAAUUAAUUAAGUAUAAUAUAUUUAAUUAAUUAUUAAUAAAAAUAAUUAAUUAAUUUUAUAGAGUUUAGAGAUUUAAAAUUUUAAAUUUAGAAGUUUAAAAUUUGAAAAUAAAUCUUAUAAGUUAAAUUAAAAUUUAAAAUAUAAAAUUUGAAAGUAUCAAAAUUUAAAAUUAUAUAUAUAUAUAUAUAUAUAUNNNNNNNNNNNNNNNNNNNNNNCUUGAGCUUAAAUUUAGGCUCAAAAUUAAUUUCAAGCCGAAUUUGAGCCGAGCUGGGCUCACUCGAGCUCGGCUCGUUUCCACUCCUAUAUAUAUAUUAUUAUAUAUAGAGAGAGAGGGAGAGAGAGAGUAAAGGAGGGUUUGGGGAGACACGUGUCACCCUUUGGUCCCCCCAAACCCUCUUUUAAUGUAGUAAAAAUAGAAUAGAAUAAUAUAUUUAAUUAACUAUUAAUAAAAAUUAAUUAAUUAAUUUUAUAGAGUUUAGAGAUUUAAAAUUUUAAAUUUUGAAGUUUAAAAUUUGAAAAUAAAUCUUAUAAGUUAAAAUUAAAAUUUAGAAUUUAAAAUAUAAAAUUUAAAAUUUAAAAUUUGAAAAUAUCAAAAUUUAAAAUUUUAUAUAUAUAUAUAUAUAUAUGAGUCCAGCUAUGGUGCUUGUUAAAGCACUAAGUACUUGGUGCUUGUAAGUUUUUUACCGUUAGAUUUACUACUCGGAUCAUUUUCAACCAUUAGAUUAUACUAUUCAACCAACCACCCACUCAACCUUAGGGGGCCCGUAUCAUUCUAACCACAUAUCUUUUAAUCCAAUGGCUGAAAAUCUACAAGCACUAAUAAUAUAGUACUUUUAAAAGCAUAGAAGCUCAAUUUUAUAUAUAUAUAUAUAUAGAGAGAGAGAGAGAGAGAGUUUGACUCGGCUACUAUUGGUAGUAAACUGCUCGGUUUACUACCGAUUUGUUUUUGAUGAUAGAGUUUCCAAAUCGACGAUCGGCAUCGUUGAACAUGAUCUAGACCAUUUAAAUUAUCUAGAAAUCAAAUUUCAUGAUUUUUUGGCAUCACUAACUAAACCAUCAAAGGGUCACAAAAUUUAUAAUUUUAAUGGCCGAUAUGGUGCAUUUGCUCGUUUAACAGUAUAUAAGGGUUCAAAUCAACUAAAUUUUUGUUAAAAAAUUUUUUAAACUAUUUAAAAUAAGAUCUAGACUCUAGAUUUCAAAUAUAAAAAUUGUAUCAUCAUUUUUUUAAGGAUAUUCAUAUUCCAGCCAUUCAUUUUUCUGUUCACUUGAUGGACAAGAGAACAAUAUCAAAAAUGUGUGAAAUUUAAUUUUCAGAUAGUUUAAAUAGUUUAGAUCAUAUUUAACGGUGCCGAUCAUCAAUUUAGAAGCUCUAUUAUCGAAAAUAAAUCGGUAGUAAACCGAGCCGUUCACUACCGAUAGUAUUCUAGCAAAACUCUCUCUCUCUCUCUCUCUAUAUAUAUAUAUAUAUAUAUAUUGGGUUUUAAAAUUUUAUAGCAUAAAAUUUCAAAUAUUAUAAAAUUUUUAAGUAAAUUCUUCGAAAACAAAAACACGUACGGACAAACCCAUCGACACCGGCCGACGUAUUCUUUACCGCGACGGACAAGCUCUUCACAGAGACAAGCCCACGCAGAGAAACGAGACACACACACACACACACACACACACACACACAUAUAUAUAUAUAUUUGGAUUAUUAUUUGUCUUUUAUAUAAUAUAAAAAAUCUGGCUUAUUAAAUAGCUUAACUGUUACUGCUACCAUUCUUUUAUUUAGCAAGCACAAGAAUCUUCUUACCUCUUUCGCUGCCCCUCCUUAAUAUUUUUGCGCACAAGCACCUGCAUAUAAAUAUGACAGAAGAAGCCAUGCGAGGCGGUAUCCAAAUCCACUUCUAAUAUAUAGUCUCCUUGCAUUAUUACUCUACUUUAUAGGUAUAAUAUCCACGUAGCACCACAAUCUCAUCGCUUGCACCAUCACGAGCAAUUAAUUAACUCCGAUAUAAUUACCAAAAAUGGCCACGAACGGCGACUCCGAUCACGGGGCGAAGGCCCACUUCGUGCUGGUCCCUUUGAUGGCGCAAGGCCACACCAUCCCCAUGCUCGACAUAGCGCGCCUCCUCGCCGGCAGUGGCGCCGCCGUCACCUUCGUUACCACCCCUCUCAACUUCGCCCGGAUAAAAUCCCUCGCCGACUCCGUUGCGAAAUCUCGUCUCCCGAUCCACUUCCUGCCACUGCGCUUCCCGUGCGCAGAAUGCGGCCUGCCCGACGGCUCCGAGAACAUUGACGUGCUCCCGUCUCGCUACUGCCUCGCAAGCUUCUUGCACGCCUGCACCAUGCUCCGCGAGCCGCUGGCGAACCACCUGCGCCGCAACUUCCCGGCGCCACCGACCUGCAUUAUAUCUGAUACAGGGCACCCGUGGACCGGGGAUGUCGCACGGGAGUUUGGCAUCCCGAGGCUCACUUUUCUUGGCUUCGGCGCGUUUGCCUCUCUCGUCAGGUACGUCCUGUACCGGUUUAAGAUAUUCGAGAACGUGGCCGACGAGAACGAGCCGGUUUCUGUUCCAUUUUUGCCUCAUCGGUUUGAGAUGACAAAGGCCAAGUCGCCGGGGAACUUCGGCGGGCCCGGGAUGGAGAAAUUCCGGGAAGUGGCGUUGGCGGAGGAGAGGAGAGCCGACGGCAUCGUGGUGAACACCUUUGACGAUUUGGAGGCUUCGUAUAUCGACGCCUACGGUCAGAUCACAGAGAAAAAGAUUUGGACCCUCGGGCCCCUAUCACUCUGCAAUAGGGACGUCGGCGAGACGGUGGCGAGGGGGAGCGCGUCAAAUGUCGACGUGAGCCAUUGCUUGCGCUGGCUCGACUCGAAGAAGCACGGGUCGGUCGUUUACGUGAGCUUCGGUAGUCUUGCUCGCACCAUGCCGGGUCAGCUGAUACAAGUAGGACUCGGGUUAGAGGCUUCGGAGAGGCCGUUUGUAUGGGUGAUCAAAGCCGGCGAUAGGUUUGCGGAAGUCGAGGAGUGGCUGAAGGCGGAGGGAUUCGAGGAAAGGGUCAAGGAUAGGGGCCUGAUAAUAAAUGGCUGGGCGCCGCAGGUGGCGAUCCUAUCGCAUCCGGCCGUGGGAGGGUUCAUGACGCACUGCGGAUGGAACUCGACGCUGGAGGGAGUGGUGGCCGGGCUGCCCAUGAUAACAUGGCCUCAUUUUGCAGAGCAAUUUCUGAACGAGAAGCUGAUAGUGGAAUCACUAAAAAUCGGGGUUCCGGUUGGGGUUCAACAGAUGACGCACUGGGGAGUGGACGAUACCCAAGUGUUCAUAAAGAAAGAUGUUGUCGAGACCGCGCUGAGCAAGUUGAUGGACGAAGGAAAAGAAGGCGAAGAGAGAAGAAGGAGAGCGAGAGAGCACGGAGAGAAGGCGAAAAGGGCCAUGGAGGAAGGGGGUUCAUCUUAUGAGAAUACCAAACUCCUCAUUCAGGAAAUACAGGCUAAAAAUAUGCAUGCCAAUGGGAAGUUAACAAUGUAGAAGGCGACAACAAGAUGCAUUCUGUACGCUUGUACCGGUAAAUGCUACCAUUCUUCACCACGCACGUUGGUGUUGACAACCAUUGCUUAAUUAUUGUAAUCUUCCACCUUUGUGAUCAAUCCUCCUGUUGUAUUAUUAUUCGACUAAUCUUUAGCUAGCUAGCAUAUAUCAUAUAAUAUAUAUGAACUUCUAUGUGGCUUCUUUGCUUUCAUUUUUCGAUUUUAUCAGAAAAUUACGGCAGCAAAAUUAAUGAUAAGAUCUAAUAGAAUUAUAAUUCGUCUCGUGCAUCAUUUAAAAGAUCAUUUAAUAAAGAUGUUACAAAACAGGACUAUACCUCAUCGUUAUUUUUAUGAAUAGACAAUAUGUCAUCGAUUUUAUUACAUAAAACAUGUAAAUGCAGUAAAGAAAACCAAUCACGAGACGUAUCAAAGAAUAUAUCAUUAAGCUCUUCGGGUAGAAAGAGCUUCAAUGAAAAGAAAAUUGUAAAUAAUGAUAUGAAAUUUGUCGAUAAUGAGAACUUAGCUGGUGAUGAUGACAUAGUCCUCCGAGGCAUCAAUGUGAUGUAUGUCUUUGAUCUAUUCCGGAAGUUGUGUAUGCUACUCCAGUGUAAACUCUUUAAGCCAUAUGAGCACCUCAUUCCUCUAUUGAGCCAAAAAGAGUCAAAAGGCAAAAAGGAAUUUCAGAAAGCAUUAAGAACAGCGAAAGAAUAGAAUAGCUAAGGAAAAUGCAUAAACAAAACUUAAAGGAUGCUGAAUUCAGAAGAGAGAGAGAGGGAGGGAGGAAGGUGAGGGUAAAUAAAACAAACUGAAAUAUGAAAGGCCCUAGCCAGAGUAGGAUGCUGUUAUAAUCUGAAGAAUGAACCUAAAAAGAUCUUUACCAAUACAAACAAGACAUUCAGCAUAGGCAACCUCUGCAUACCAAGUUAUAUGGAGAAGAUACAAGAGAGAGUACAUGUCAAGGAUUUGUGUAUGCUUUAGUAGCAUUUAUGGGUUAUACUGAAAGUAAAUAUGAAAGUAAGCUUUGCAUAUAUUAGACCAUCAUAAUGACCAGAGUAUUCCCUUGGAAUAAUAAGAGAUACGUCGAUGGUAGCAUUACCCAAAAGAUUAAUCGAGUAGGAAGCAUGCCCAAUAAUGUAUAUUAACACCCUCAAUCACGCGUAUAACGAUGGAUAUGAAGGACAUAUUGAGUUAAUAUAUGAGGUAGAAGAUGAGGAUUUAACCCAUAAAAUACAAUAUAGAAAUAUAUCCUAUUAAACAUUGAAGGUGGGGACCAAACCUACGGCAUUAUAGAAUGCAAGCGGUUUAGAAUUAGCUCAAAUAGCAUGUUACCGAAAGAUCGAUCUAAUAGGAAGUGGGCCUAGCUAGUAAUGUAUUAAUAUAACAAAAAGAUCAAUCUAGUAGGAAGUGGGCCUUGUACUAUAUAUUAAUAUAACCAAAAGAUCGAUCUAGUAGGAAGUGUACCUAAUAAUAUAUUAGCAAGUAGAAGGAAGACUUAUACCAUGAUGAAGGUCCAUGUCCUUCCAGGAUCAUUGUAACGCGCAAGCAAACAACCUUGUUGAGGCUUCAAACCAUCUCUAAGUAGGAUAGAACGAAGUUCUUCCUCUAUACUACGAACAACCUCCUCUGUCGCUUUCCCACUAAAUUUUUUCACCGCAGCUAUGCCUCCUUCAACCUUACGUAAGUGAACUGCUUUGGACUCGGGCGCUGGAAAACUGAUCAAAUAAAGACAGCAGAAAAAAGGCAAGUUAAUCAAAGGAGACCAAUCUCCUCAAGUUAUCCAUUUUGUUGCUGCAAUCAACUAUUAAACCCAAGAGGUGACAUGAGUUUAUGAAAUCCAUUUUAACUCCAAAAUGCAUCAAAGAAUAACAUUUACCUGUCCAAUUCUUUGCCCAUCGGUAGAACUAUCUGGAUGUGUACUUCUGAAAGUUUGUCGUCAGAAGCCUGAGUAAAGACAGGGGUGGUCAUUGGGAUCUUUUCCAUGGAUGAGUUCUUGCCAAAUAUAUACCUAGAAGAUAUUAGAGCAUCGAUUCAUUAAAAUAAAUGGUAGUAUACUACUUUGUUGAAUUAGACAAGGAGAAGUGCUCACCCAGUAACAUCAUUAAAGCCAGAGGAGCCUGAGAGUUUAUCUCCUUUUGUUUCAGCGACCACAAAAGGUUCGUAUUUUCUCACCUGCAGCCCCAAUUGCAUUAACACGGGGAUUUGGAAUGCACAUGCCAUUACCGAAGAAAGAGAAUACAUCAUAGCACUUCAGAGGAAGCAAAUAAAGCAUAUGAUCCGAUCUAUGAAUACUGAAGAAAAUAGUGAGAGGAGUACUCUGGUACAUGCCCAUCAACAAACAUAUGCACUAGUACAAGCGAAAGGCCAGAUUAAAAGCCAUAACAGAUUUUUGUUGCAAUGUUUCUGACGCAAGAAAAUUUGAAGCUAGAACUUCAACCUUAAAUAGUUCCAAAGAAAAAAAUUCACACCUCAUAAGUUGCAGUUCUUUUCAAUAUCCGGUACUUCGGUGUUACCAGAUCCGGGGUCUUGUAAAUUCGCAGCUGUGGGGAAUCACAAGUUUGUAAGCAUAGAAAACUAUAUCAGAUUCAUCUAUGAAAAUUAUCUGACAAGUAUACACCAAAUGAAUUGCCACUCAGUAGUACCUGCUUUAAAACAUCCAACAAGCCUUCAAAAGAAAAGUAUUUAUUAUUCUGAAUUGAAUCCCAAAGAUCCUAAAACCAAAAAGAAUGUUGAGGGUCCGCACAUAUAAAGAAGCCACAACUGCAAAAUUGCACUCCUGUGUAAUAAGAUUACUCAAGUAAAAAAAUGGCUCACCACAUGACUGCAAAACAUUUGAGUCUCGGGGUUGACACCCAUGAUGGAGACACCGGUGAAGACCAACUCCGGUUUCCAUGGCAGAAUAGCAAAUUUCAUCACCAUAGUCCAUCUUGUCGUGAUCUCAUAACACCCUGUCUAAAGCAAACGCACAAAUUUAGAGCCAAAUGAACGAAAAAUCCUUUAGAAUUUAAGAUGCUUGUGAUCAUGAUUCCUUCUUUCAGUUGAAAGUACAACUGCAUCGGCCUAGUAAAGAGCAAAAUCGAACACAACUGAGUGAUUCGAUCAAGUAAAGAGCAAAAUUUGACACAAUAAAUUUUCUGCGCACGAAACAGAAAAAAAAAAUUCACUCCCCAGAAUAACAUGAAUCAUUCUUCAUCUCGAAACUACAAUGUCGAUCUAUUAAUUAAGUUCCAAAAUAACUCAAAAGGGGUAGCUGAAAGAAUGCAACAGCAGUUCUCACAGUACAAAACCAACAAAGUAUACCAGAGAAUAUAUGAAAUUACCUAAUCUAUACCAAAAUAAUUCAUAAGAAAUGAACAUAUUAUCACCUGCUUGACGUGGUGGAGAUAGAAAUCGGGGGAGAAGAGGAGCUUGAGGAGCCAAAUGUUGAAGAGGUAGCCCUCCACCGUCUCGUGCUUCGUGAUCGGGUCCCUGAACCGGACCCGCCGGUCGUACCGGGUCCGGUCGAUCCCGCGCUCGUCGAACAGGUGCGGGAGGUCGCCGCGCAGGAACUCCUCCAGCUCCUGUAAGUGCACUUCCGCUUCCACUUCCGCCGCCCCUCCUUUCGCAGGGCUUUGCCGCUCUACUAAGCUGCUUCUCAGCGCCGAAUUCGGCCGCCGUUCCCUACGCGGCGCCGGCUUUCGUUCUGCGCCGGGAUUGGCGGGGAAGUGGAGAGUUCCGGUGGGUUUGUAGGCGGUCGGAAGUGGGAAACGGGAAACGGAGGUGGGGAGUGUGGCCAUUUUUUUUUAUUUGUUUAUUUUUUUUAUUUAUUAUUUCGCGCUUUUACGUUACCUGAUCCGGUAUUUGUAGGGUCGAAAUUAGGUCGAGCUCGGGUCCGGCCCAAAUAGCCCAAUUCUAUCCAGAUCUUAAAUUGUUGGGUCCCGUCCCACGCAUGGGUCGCGCAUGGUUCGUCCAGAUUUUUAUUUCUACCAUGGCAUUAUAUUAGAUUCGUUUACUAGGCAAAGUUAAAAACACCUAUGUGAUCCAAAAUUUUUAAGGAUUCAUGUCGCACGUACUUUGGUUUAAUUCGAAUUAGAAAUUUGGGACGAAAUGGAGGCUUGAUGUCCCCAUGUGACGAUGGUAAGGUACUAAGGAACAAAAGAAUCUGCGCCAAGAAAUGUUAUGAACUGAUUCCGCAACUCCUAACAAUUUCAGACCUUUUGCAAAUAUGAAAAUUAUUGGUUCUUUCUCAAAUAGCUGUUUUUAUCAAAUAUUUAGCUUGGGCAAACACACACAAUAGGGGGAUAAUGGAAAUUAGGGUUGAAAUUUAGACACAAAAAAUUAAAACUAUAGUAGAUUUUCUAAAUUCAGACACAGAUUGAAUCGUGCGACUUAUAAGACUAGCUUAAUAGAAGAACUUCAUUAUGGAACUUCCCAACAAAUUAAGUACCCCUCCUGUAGGCAACAAAGCCAAUAAAUAGGCACCCAAUAAGGUAAAACCGGUUGAUAGGCAAUUGGCCACAAAUGCCCGCAAAGAUCCUCAACUUACUUUUUUGACCCGUGAGCCAUGAAGCAUGUGGAGGCCAAGGGAUCAUUGCAUUCUUUGUGUCCAAAAGUAAAGCUAAUAAUUAGGCAUAUAUCGAAGGAGUGGAGAAAUACCAUAUUACAAUUUGAGGGGUGUGAGAUCUAUAAUUCACUUUGAAUUAUAAUUUUUAUAAUUUUUUUUAAAAUCCAAAAGUAUUUUUUGUUUUUCUUAUUAUCUUUUUGAUACUAAAUAUUUAAAACAAAAAGUAAAUCCCGCAAAUUUUGGAUGAUGAAUUGUAUAAAUUCCAAACCCUUUCAAUUAUAUAAACUUUGAAUUUUUCUUACAAUUUUGUUGGGCAUGUGUUAUUGGUCGUUGCUUUUCAAUUCUCUCCCAGUUUCCUUAUUCUACCCCACAAAUUCUAGUUUUCUACUGUUUUUUUAUUAAUUUUUCUCCGCUAGUUGUGGAAUAACUUACAAUACGACAUACUUUUCUCAUGUUUUUCUUGAUUUUCUUUUUUUCCCCAAGCCAGUUUUUAUUCUAGGGAAAGUAAGGUUUUCUUUUCCUCCUCAUGUACCCACUCUUUGCGAGAAAUUAUUUUCUAUCCUUCAUUCCACAUUACGUUAAACGGUAUUUAUUUUCAAAAUUUAAACUAUUAUUAUAAAAUGAUUUUUAAAAAUUUUCUACAUUUGACAGCAAUAACGAUCAUACGAAGAUUGUUUUGCAUUGUUUUUGGUUGAUUUAAAGUAAACAAAAAAAAAAAAAAGAAGAUGAGUUGAUUUUUUAUAUGCAUUCUUAAAUCUUAACUGUAGAUAUGCUUUUUGGUUGUGUAAACAUUAGGAAUUACUUGCUAAUGAUCUUGCAAUUGAGAGGGGCAGAUUGAAACGAGGCCGAUCGAACGUGACAUGGACGCCGUUCAAGUGACGUGCUACCCUAGCUCUUAUUAGAUUUUUCCUUACACCGGAAGUCGCCGGAUCAUACAUUCACACGCAAGUCGACGGCUCGACGCAACCAGGUCACCUACUCCACCUACCAAACUAAAACGCAUGCACUGCGUCCAAAAUGGAGUUAGUUUACGCAAGGAAAGAACAAAUUUCAGAAACUAAUCAUAAUUUUUUUAAAAAGGGGAACAGAUCAACGACUCUUAAUUCUUUUCUUUUCUUUUCUUCUUAAUCAAUUCCACGCAGGGUUCAUCAUACUAUCUCCUCCGCGCAAGGAGGAAAAAAAAAAAAAAAAAAAACGAUACAACGUACGCCUUGAACUGGACGCCAAAUCCGCCGUGCAUAUAUUGUACAUUAUUACAUGUAGUAGCAUACUCUCCCUCUGUUAAAAAUAAUCACUAAUUUAUCGUGAAUCAAUUCUUGGUGUUGCAUGCCCUUCGAUCUUUUUUUUUAAUACUAAUAAAAAAGGAAAAAAAAAAAAGGAAUUUCCUCCGAGCGUCGGCGCUAGCUUGUGUCGUUGGCGUGGUGGGCGUAGCGUGCGACGCGGUCGUCGAUCCAGGCGCGCAUGUCGCCGAGGACGCGGCGGCUGUUGUCGGGGGACUCGCCCUGGACGAGCGAGUGGUAGAAGCCGUCGUAGACGAUCAGGGUCUUGUCGGCGCUGGCCGCCCGGUCGUACAGCAUCGUCGACCCCUCGGGAGCCGUGACGCCGUCCUCGGUGCCGUGCAGGGCGAGGAAGGGCGCCGUGACCAGGGGGAAGCUGUCCUGCAGGUAGCCGCAGAGGCGCGCCAGCUCCCGCAUGGUGCCGACGCGCGGCGGGCCCGUGUAGCGGCGGGGGUUGGAGGCGAUGACGCGGAGGCGGUCCCGGUCGCGGAUGGACUUGCCGACCAUCUUCUUGUCGGGCAUGGCCGGCCAGGUGUCGGCGAGGCCGAAGAGGAGGCCGAAGAGGAAGAGGCGUAGGCGCGAGGGCUGCAUCUCCUCGGGCAUGGCGAGCAGCGGCGCGGAGAGGAUUAGGCCCGUCCAGGCGCCGGGCGGGGAGCGGAGGUACAUGAGCAGCGCCGCGGCCCCGCCCAUGGACUCGCCGAAGAGGAAGGCCGGGAGGGGCGCGUGGGCCGGGUCGGCGCGCACGGACAGGAAGAAGGAGAGCGAGGCGGCCGCCACCUUCUCCAUGUCGCCGAGGUAGCAGCGGAGGCCGUCGGAGCGCCCGUGCCCGAGCAGGUCGGCGCAGUAGACGGCGUAGCCCCACGUGGCGUAGUUGAUGGCGAUCUCCUGGAAGAGCCAGCCCGUGUCGGACCCGUAGCCGUGGCUCAUGAACACGCACCCCUUGACGGCGGCGAUCUCCUCCCCCUCCGCCACCACGGGGUGGAAGGACUGCGUGAAGACCCGCCCGUGCGGGCUGGCGAAGUACGACUGCCGGUUCCGCACGCCGCGCGACGCGUAGUACUCCUCCUCCUCCGGGGAGUCACCCCAGAAGAACCGCGUCGCCGCCUCCGAACCCAUCGCCCCCCACGUACCCCACUCGCCCGCUCCAAGUCGAUUCCCCCCUCUCUCUCUCUCUCUCUGUCUCUCUCUCUCUCUCUAUGUAUAUAUAUAUAUAUACAUAGAGAGAGAGAGAGAGGUUGGGGAGGUGAUGCUGUCCGUGUAAAAAUUUUAGAAUGUAUCAGUAAAGUAGCAGCGUCAAUAAAAUAAAUUUUUUUAAAUUUAUUUAUUCUAUCAUAAUUAUACAAAAAUAUUUUUAUUAUAUUUUUUUAAAAUAAAAAUAUAUAAUUAGUUUAUUAUUGAUGGUACAGUGCAAAUAGGGUAAAUUUUUUCGUGACCCUGCGGUUGCUGCGGAGAGCGAUCUUCACGAACCUGGUUUCUGGUUUCCGGUUUUAAACGGGAGGCUCUUCAAGCACUCUCCAAUUAUGUAUCACAAAUAUUUUUAUAAACCUCGUGUACCGGUAUCGAACUCGCAUAUGAUGUAGACAUUUUUUAGACGCGCGUUCAAUAUUAAUUCAUACCUCAUAUAAUUAAAAUAAUAUAUAUUUUUUAUUUUAUUUUUUUAUAGAUAUAUAAUGUAAGAUGAGAAAUAUUUUAAUUUUUUUGAUGAAUGCAAAUAAAUUUUUUUUAGGACGAUAUAAAUAAAUUAUGUAUGAUGAAAUUUUUUUUUCUUGAAAUAUAUAAAUUAUUAAUAAAAAUUUUACUAAUUUUUAUUCGUAUGAAAAAUAUAAUAAUAUUUUACCAAAACUAAUAUAUAUAUAUAUAUAUAUUAUAGUUAAUAAUAACAGGCGUAACGAAAGGGGUAAUGUAAAAGGAAAAGAUUCAUAAGUACCAAACAUAAAUUGAAAAGAGAUAAAAUAAGAUUCUGGAGCUAUCAAAUAACUUCUAAAUACAUGUUAUACUUCGACAGUACAUACUAAAUGGAGUAGCGUACAUCUAAAUGGAUUGUACAGAUGCACAGAUACAUUAAUCAUACAGAAGGGCCCAUUUAACAUAUUAAAAGUAGUUUAGGUAGUAAGAGGCAUACAACACUAGAUUCAUCAGAAUAUCAAUGAAAGUAUCAGCUAACAGUAGUAGGAGCACCAUCAAAGUAUGGCAUAUUUCUUUGUUGCAGCUGCAUAAUCUCCUCUGAAGUGGCCGUCCGCAGAUCGAAGCUCUUCUGAUCAUGAAUAACUAAUCCUUGCUUCAUACGCCCUAAUUUCCGUGAAUGUAUUACUUGCUUCGAUACCACAGGAAGCCGGACAGCCUCAUACUCUUCAAGAGCCGUGCGGAGGUUUUCGAACCCCCAUUUCUUAAGGCAGUUUCCAAGGGUCUCUGCAUCGAGAAUCGACAUGUUGGUGCUUCUCAAUCCAUGAGGGGUUGUCGGGUGCGCGGCAUCUCCGACGAGAACUACAUUGUCCCAGAAGAGCUUUUGUAGAGGAUCACUGUCGUAUAUCACGUUGACGAAAGGUUCUUUUGUUUCUUUCAUUACCCUGGCUAGCUCAGGAACCCAGAGCUUUUCUGCUUCUUCAUGCAUAGCCUCAAUCAUACUAUUGCUUACUUUCAUAGUCACUGAAUUUCCCUAGAAAUAUCCCUUAAAAUGUCAGCUCACCGAAUACACAUAAAAACUUCACGCGUUUUCCAUUGGUCAAAACUCAAAACAGAAUGAAGUAUACUCUAUAGAAGAUCUAUAUAUUUACUUAAAUGAAUCGACCAAUGAAUAGCACUGCAUAAAAUAUUUUAAGUUUUGGAGAGCAUUGUAUACAGUCGGACAUAGAUUACUUUUUUUUUUUUAAUCUAAGGUGAAUAUUAUUACCUUCAGUUCCGGUUCGGGCCGGUUGAUGUACCAGAUCCAAUUCAGCCUCUUGUUCUUCAAUUCGUAGAUCACAGUAUGUGUUUUAUGGGCCAAAUCAAAGUAUAAACAAUCCCCAAGAUCUGGAUAAGCGCUCCGGAUACCGAUAAUUAUAUCUGAGUUCUCUUUUCCAGUGAAAUCUAACACCCCUCUCCAUGCACAAUAACCUGAGUAUCUGUAUUAGCCAGAAAGAAAGAAUAAGUCGUGAGUGCGUUGCUGUGAUCAUAUACAGAUUUUAGCGUUAUUGUUUUAAACAGGUUUAAUUCAAGUAUAGGGAAUUUCUGCACCAAUCACAGAAAGAAUCAGAAUCAUAAUUGGUUCAAACAAGUCAUUUUUAAUUCAAGGACAGUUUCUGUACCAAUCACAGAACCGGUUUUAGCAUCAACCAAUUUCCCGGAUCUGGGUGAAAAUCGGUUUAAACUGGUACAUUAUACUGUUUAGUCCAUUUCCGCGUUCUACUACUAAGCCUUCUUUUACCAUCAUCUAUAUGAAACCAUUUAAUUUGGUAUGCCAACAUCAACACCAGAAGCGGUUUAACUGCUAACACAGUGGAAGAACUAACACUAUUUAAGCAAAAACAAGUUUUAAACUAAGCCGACAAACCUUAACUUAAAAUCUGGGAGAAACUGCUGCCGGAUAGUCGACAAGCACCCGUCAGCGGCCACCAGCAAAUCCGCCGCGAUCUGCAGUGUCUCGCCAGUCUGAAGGGCUUCGACUUCAGCGACGACAGUCAACUUGCUCUCCAAAACCCGGAAAGUGAUGAACUGGUGGGCCCAAAGUAUGACCCCCUCCGGCAGUGCUCCGAGCAUCAGCCCAUGCAGAUCGGCCCAAUGGGCUGCUCUGAACCCGAAGCUGUCAUCCCUCGUCAACGUCCAACUCCUCUUCUGCUCAUUCUCCGUCGCCCGGUUCUGUGAACAUACAAAAUGGUUAUAAUCACACCUGAAGUGUAUAUGUGUGCGCGUGGUGCCUGCCGACUUCUUAAAAAUUUUUGAAAAAGAAAAUGAAAGGUUAUGAUUUAAGAUUAAUUACCAAGUCGACGGUGAGCGGAACGGUGAUAUCAUGGAGGAGGUCCGGAUGGCCGAUCCAACGGCCAAUGAUCUCCCUAGCCUGUGGAUCGAGGCCCAGCCCGGCUCCGGUGGGGCUUCGGCUUGGGGGAGCUCCCGACCGUUCGAUCACCGUCACCGCCCAUCCGACGGCGAUGAGAGCGUGGGCACACGAUAGCCCAGCUAUGCUCCCUCCCACCACCACUGCUUUCCCCACCCUCUUCUUCUCUUCCAUUUCCGCCUCCCCCUUUCCCUUCAAAGCCCACUUUUUUUCUACACUGUAGGAUCAAGCCCUUCAUCUCCUGACCCCCCGAUCGAGAUCAAACGGUCAUUGUCGGCGCCAUGUGUUGUUUGUAAUUUUCACAAACACCUCAUCUGCAUAACUUCACCGUCCCCGAAUGUUACCCGAAUUUCGCGGGCUACAAUCACCUUCUCCUUCAAAAUUUCCGCGCCAUUCCUUCUCCUCUUCAUCUCCAAAUCGAGUUGGGAAGAGUCUUACGAAGAAGGUGUGCAUCGAGCUCCUCCGAUGGUGCAACAACACGAACCAACUCAAGCAAAUCCACGCCCAAACACUCGUCGCCUCGCUCCACCGAAGCCGAGAGGUGUUCGACAAACUAAUAGGCUCCUGUGCGCACCCAGAACACGGCGACGUGAACUACGCCGACGUGUUGUUUCACAGUGAAGAGGACCCGUCGCUUUUCGUCUACAACGUAAUGAUCAAAGCGUUCGUUAAAAAUGGUAUUUUUAAGCGAACCGUGGAUUUGUACUCGAGAAUGAGGGAGAAGGGCUUGUUUCCGGAUAAUUUUACGUACCCAUUUGUUCUGAAGUCGAUGGGAAUCCUCCGAAUGGGGUUGGAGGGGAGAAAAACUCACUCGCUCGUGGUUAAAACCGGGUUCGAGUUCGAUCCCUUCACGAGGAACGCCCUUUUGGAUAUGUAUGCGGAGAUGGGUCGCAUCGAGAUUGCGCGGUAUCUGUUCGACGAAACGCCUCAGAGAGACGUGGUACUGUGGAACGCCAUGAUCGCGAGCUACGUGAAGUGCGAGAGAUUCGAGGAGGCGAUUAGGGUUUACAGGAGCAUGGAACAAGAGGGUUUGACAGCUGAUGAGGCUACAUUGGUUAGCACACUCUCGGCUUGCGCCCAAAUGGGGAAUUUGGAUCUAGGUAAGAGCAUUCAUAGAUGUAUGAAUACUGGAAUCCAUUUUAGUCUCCCUCUUGGGAAUGCUUUGUUGGACAUGUAUGUGAAAUGCGGAUGCUUGGUUAAUGCACGUAAGUUGUUCAACGAAAUGCCGAUAAGAAAUGUGGCUUCUUGGACUACCAUGGUCACGGGAUAUGCGAAUUCUGGUCAGUUGGAUGAAGCAAGGUGGCUCUUCGACCUGAGCCCGGCGAAAGAUGUGAUUCUUUGGACCGUGAUGAUCAAUGGGUACGUGCGGUGUUGUAGAUUCAAAGACGCUAUGGCUUUGUUUAGGGACAUGCAGUUGAAUCGAAUUAAGCCCGAUAAGUUUACAGUGGUGGCUCUCCUCACCUGUUGUGCUAGCCUGGGAGCUUUAGAACAAGGCAAAUGGAUUCAUGGGCACAUUGAGGAUACAAAGAUGAAGAUUGAUGCUAUUCUUGGCACGGCAUUAAUCGAAAUGUAUGCGAAAUGUGGUUGUAUAGAGAAAUCCUUGAAAAUUUUUAGAAGGAUUGAAGGAAAGGACGCGACGGCAUGGACUUCAAUCAUCUGCGGUUUAGCCACCAAUGGCCAAACGUAUGAAGCUCUUGCUUUGUUUGCGGAGAUGGAAAGAGUAAAAGCUAAACCUGAUGAUAUCACACUUAUCGGCGUAUUAAGUGCUUGUAAUCAUGGAGGAUUGGUAGAUGAAGGGUGUAAGUAUUUCCAUGCAAUGAAGGAAGUGUAUCAAAUAGAGCCCAAAGUCGAACAUUACAGUUGUUUGGUUGAUCUACUCGGGCGUGCCGGUCUUCUAGACAAGGCAGAGAAGUUGCUCGACGAAAUGCCAAAGGGAAUGAACAGUAAAGAUGCAGUUCCGUUGUGGGGAGCUUUACUUGGGGCUUGUAGGCUUCAUGGCGACGUUCAGAUGGGUGCGCGGCUGGCUAAACGAGCUAUUGAAGUAGAAAAUGAGAAUGUGGGAAUGCACACACUUCUUGCUAAUAUAUAUGCGGUGGCGAAUAGAUGGGAGGAUGCCAUGAAAGUGAGGAAACAGAUGAAAGAUCUAGGAGCUAAGAAGACCCCUGGGUGUACUUUGAUCGGGGUGCAGUUCGAUCAGAUUGAACAGCCGGAGAGAAGGUAGGUUAGCUUUGUUUUGAAUUGUAUAACAUAUAGACUUGAGGAAAGACUAUUUAUUCAGAGGACUGAAAACUUACAUGAUGGAUUGAUAAGAACUGACAGAGUCCUCCGUAUUUUUAUGCAGUUUGAAGAGACAACAUAUCCUAUGUAAACUUUGCUAAGCCUUUCUGGAUAUACAACAGUAAUUCUUGCUUUCUCAGAUUUCAUGUUCAUUUAUGCUGUCAUGUAAAAGUUUCUGCAUCUCUCAAAUGUUAGACAGUAAACUGAAGAACACAAACAUAUCUUUUAUUUAGUCUGUUCAAAGUUUUUGUGCGUCACCAGUCAACCGAAUCAGAAUGCUUUGGUCGAAACAAGUAUUUUCUUGAAGGCAUUACCACAAGAAGAACAUGCAAUCAGUUGAUUGUUUAUCAGUAGCUGGGUACAAUCAGCUGAUGUGAAUCAGAAAACCGAAAACUAGUGAUAACUUUCAGUUAAUAGAAGCAGCAGCAGUAUCAGAACAUAAGCACUAGUGCUCUAAGCUGGUUGCUGGUCCUUGUUCAUGCAUGAGAACAUAUGAACUUCAGUUUAGUUGCUGAGAGCACUUAUGUAGCACAUAACAUGUGAUCUUCCCGCCAGUGAGCUUGCUAAUAACAAUUGCUUUGAGCCAUAACAAAAUGACACAGGAAUUCAUCAGCUCCAUUUCUAGCAAAGAAGAAUCUUAACCGGCAGUACGCUUUAGGCUAAAGGCCUGGAGCAGAUAUUACUGUUUAGCAAAUGCAGCAAAUUAUUUAAAAGUAGCAUUCUCAAGACUCCUAAAAGUACUAGCAAGGAGCAGAUUCGUAAGUUACAAUUUUCUUUUGAAAUUGUAUGAAUAAAGCACCAGAUGGAUAGUGAGAAGAAUCUAGAAUUCAAGAUCACAUCAAAGAAAGACAUACCUCUGCAUGUUUAUUAUGGAAAAGGUAUGCGGCAGAUGCAGAAACAACCACAAAAUGCACAGCUUAGAAUAAACAGCAAUAUUCAUUAGGCUAAUAUGGAUAUUUACAGGAGCAGUUAAUGAAUAAACAUGAUGCCAUGAAUAGCUAGUAUGUUCACACUACCUAACUCCAGCUAUGCAGAAUUAACACUACUAAUAAACACGAUUGGCUCUUUACAAUCAUACAAACAGCUAAUAACCUUAAUCACCAAACAAAAGCCCUAAUUCGAAAUUCACCCUGAAAAAAUAUCACUUUAUGAGAUCACUUCUAUGUCGAUCAGUUAUUACCUCCAGAACUUUUUCUUUCACGUAUUUUUCACCUGAUGUUGCCCACUUUUAGCUAGCUUCUCCUCAAAGCUAGCAAUUUCUGCAAAAGCUUUUCGCAGCAUGUCUUUUGCAACCUUGAAAGCAUCUGCAGAUACUGCCCCCUUCUCUGCACACUUCAUGGCAUCACGAACAAGAUCAUUGUAUCUCAAAAUUGGAGAAUUUUGACAAUAACUCUCGUUUUCAUCAUCACGUCCAUCAGGUUCGGGCCCAAUCUUUGCCUUUUUAGUCCAUCUUCUUGAGAUGCAAUGAUCCGGAAGAAGAAUUACACCAGCCAGGACGAACACUCCCAGCACAUGCCUGCAUAAUAUCCCCGAGAAUGCAAACUUAAAGCAAUUGCACCACGCUUUCUUUUCUUGCGCAUUGAAGUAAACAACAUGCCUAUUACAGGAAUCAUCGACCCUUUCAACUGAGAAUUUACUAUAUUGCCCUUCCUGAAUCUUCACCGGAUAGUGGUGAAGGGAUUCAACCAGCUCUUCUUGGAAAUUUUCAAAUGCUGCCCGUGUAUAGAUAUUCGCCGCUUGUUUUUCCAUCACAGUGUCGGUUUUCAAUAUCUGUUUGGGCGGGACAACGGUAUUGUCCAUUUGGGCUUCUUCUGCAUACCGACUAUCCAUUUCUUGAUCGAAUUUAGCAAUGAAAGUCUGAAAAUGGACUUCCGUACUGAAGUGGCUCCGGUAAAAUCUAUUUAUACUCUCUAACUUCCGGGUUGUGGAUAGCUCUGCAAAGAAAGAGCCCGUGAGAUAAGCAGGAACCCAUUUAUUCCGCAUGCUGUAUAGUGAUUGCAACCAAGCAUUCUCUCUAAGAUCAUAUUUAUCGAUAACAGACCUCCAAUAAAUCUCAAACAUUUCGAUGCCAUCACACUCAUUAACACAUUUUUUUAACUCUUCGUGAAGUGUGGGAAACCUAGAAUAGAGAUCAGAAAGCUUCUUCUUGCAUCUAGAUAAGAUUCUCCACCUACAUAGCCUGUGAUGAGUCUGAGGAAACACCUUUGCCACUGCCGCUCCUAUAGCUUUGCCUUGAUCGGUAGUGAGCGAAAUCGGGUGCCUUCUAAACAUCGCGGUAAGCCAAGUCUCAAACAACCAAGUAAAAGAAGACUCUGUCUUAUCAACAACCAAAGCACAACCGAAAACAACCGGCUGUCCAUGAUGAUUCACACCGGUAAAAGCAGCAAACGGCAUCGUCAUGUUCUCAUUCUGUUUAUAACUCGUGUCGAAAGUUACGGCAUCCCCAAAAUACGUGUAUGAAAUCCGGGCUUUGGCAUCAACCCAAACCGCGUUGGCCAUACAGUUCCUACCAUCCACCUGAAUCGCAUAGAAAAACCCGGGAUUUUCCGCCUGCAUUUUCUUAAAAUAAUCGAGCAGGACCUGUGCAUCCCCAUCUCCGAACAUCCUAAGCCGCAUCUCUUUCAAAUAGUUCUCGUGCUCCCUGUACUUUCCCGAGAGGCGACGGAGCUGAAUCUCCCUCACCUUAUCGGGGCUAACCACGACAUGAGUGUGAUCCAAUACCAAUUUUGUAACGACCCACCGGUCGGGCGCGCGCCGGACCACCUCCAUCAUGGCGGGGCAGCCGUCGCGAAUGGAAAGGCGCUUCCUUUUCUUCCUGGCACUCAAAUCUGUAGCCUUUUUCUUGUGGUGGCCCUCCUUCAGACACACGAACCGCUUCAUGACGAGGACCUCGACGCCCUUGCGCCGCUCGCUGCGGGAGCGGGCGACACGGAUGCCGAAGCCGAGGCGCGAUGCGUAGGCAUUGUAGAAGGCCCUAGCGGCCGCGUCGGAUUCGAAUUCCAUGCGGAGAUAAGGAUCCUGGUUCUUGACGUCGACGUCGACGUCGACGUCGGUCGCGAUGACAUCGGUCCCGCCCGCAUCACGGUCGACGAAAUGCCCCUGAGAAGAAGCAGCCCCGCCGCCGGCCUGAUCGGCAUCCGGGGGCGUUGGAUCGUCCUCGAGAUCCGCAAAAUCUUCGAUCAGCUCAUCGUCCUCGCUCGAGCAGUACUCCAUCUAUAAUCUGAAACAGUACGUCCACAGUUACAACGAAUUUGAAAACAAGCACGAAGUAAGCUCACCACGUGGACGAGAAAUCUCUAAAUUUUGUCAAGGCAUUAGAAUCUACGGGGAUUGAUUAGGUUAAGCGGAGUGAGCUGAGAUAUGAGGAUCGAUUAGGUUUUGGAUGAAGAGAACGAAAAAGGUGAGAGAACGAGAGCGACCCACCUGAGGAAUUUGGGGUUUUAGGGUUUCCGCCCGGACGAGUCGGAGAGGAGAGACGUAGAGAAGGGGGUGGGGCGUAGAGUGAUCUCACCUGGUGGUGACGCGACACCGAGUUUCUUACUAAAAAAUAAAAAUGGGUUGGUAAACAAUGUGUAUUGAGGCCGCUCAGCAGUAGGCCCAGGUUUUUUUUUUUUUUUUUUUUUUUUUUUUUUUUUUUUUUUUCCAAUUAACAUUUUCUCGGCCUAUCAAUUAAAUUAAAAAAAAAAUGAAAUUAUUGGUUUCAUUUGUUAGUAAUUGUUAAUCAUAACAAAAUUCAUGCUUCAAAAUAGCUAAAGGCACAAAAUUUGACCAAACCAAAAUUUUUUUUAUUUGUUUUCUUUAUUGUAAUAUCUGGUCCUCACAGCUUCCAAAUAUCAAUCAUAUGUAAAGCCAAAAUGAUUGCAAAGGAAAAGCCAUUAUUUUAAUUAAGCCAAUAAAAACGGACUUAAAACCAUCUUCCUAAUGAAAAUUUACUAUAAUAGUAUAAAAAUCAUAUCAACUUUGCAGACAAUUCAUAAAAUUAUAAUGGGAUGAACGAUGCAUUCGAGGCGGAUUCACUCAGAACUUGCUGUUAACAGAGUUCUGCUACUAAAUAUUAACGAGAAUAGCUACAUUCUCAUAUCUCCAUUGUGUGACAACUUAAAACACCAACAAGAAUACGCUAAAUUAUAUAUUUAAAAAAAAAAAACCAAUGCGAAAGCUCGAAGCACAGAGCCAUUGUCUGACUUCGUUCAGAAAAUCGAUAUUGAAUUCUCUGCAAUUAACACACUGAAAAGGCCACUAAUUAUUACUACACAGGCAAAAAGAAGGCGCAUACUGCGUACAGAGUUGUUGUCGUAAACAAAGUUUAAGAUACAUACAAUGCAAGAAUUCCAUGAAAGGAAAAAAUUGAGAAUAAGAGAUCUGAUCAGAGAACAAGAGCUUAUGCCGCCUUUGCCGGCCACGUUGCUUGAGAAGACAUAAUUAUGCCCACGAUCACGCCAAAUAACCCAAGCGCGCUGCCGAAGAUCUCAAUCACCAGAAUCUUUACAAAAAGGGAAGAGUUCUGAGCAUCGGAAAGCGCACAGCUGCUUCCAAUUAUUCCAACACAAAGCCUAUUUAAAAAUACAAAUAAGCCAAAUGCACUUUUGUGAGAUUUUUUUUUGGUUAACUUUGCAUUGUUUUAUUGAUCAUAGGAAUUAGUGUAAUGUUGUUAGUGAGAAGAAUUUAGGUGAAAUAUACCCGCAUACAAGAUUUGCAAACCCAACGAUUAUCCCAGAAGCGAAGAUGGCAUAACCAGCUCGGAGAGAUUCUGGGGCGUAUAUAAGUGACGACGGCACACUUUCCAACUUUGUUUGCAAAAUGAUCGCCACGAUAACACCAUAUAUAGCAACGGCCUCGCAGAAGAUGACACUGAAAAGUUCAAUCAGAAAACUAAGAUGACAGGGAUCUCAUAGCUAAUAAAGACACAAAAAUAACGGAUUAUUGAAUGUGUUGUGUAAUCAGUCACAUCGCCGGUUUUAGGUGUGUAGUUACAUAAAGGACUGAUUGGAUCAUGCUGAAUGCUAGGGGUUUCUAACUUUUUUUGCAUCAUGGAUUCAUCAUCAGUGAUGAUAUCACCACCGAGUGAUCGCUUUUAAAGUACAAAAUGCAGCAGCUUAGACCUAAACUAUACCUACAGUAUAUAGAUUAGAUCACACUAGAUGUAGAACAAGCAAGCAAACUUAUAGAAAUGUAUGGACUAUGGAGUAAACUGAUGAGAUUAGUUAGAUGCUAAAUCAGUGUUCAUGAUAUUGGAUUUUUUAAAAUUUUGAUUCUCAAGAUUAAUUUGAUGUUCAUACAACAACCUUAGGCCUAGAAGUGUUCAUUUGAGUACAUUUUGCACAUUUUCAAUAACGGAUUUGCAGCCCAUCAUAAAAAAGGAACUAGCGAAAAACACAGACACACAGGCACACAAAGAGAAAAUCCGCACCAUGAAACCAGUCCCUGGCCCUAUGACAGGGCAUUGAUGCCUUUUCGUCCCUUAGAACCUUUUACUAGAAGCCACUGAUAGAGAGGGAUGAUCCUUUUUCUUUUUGCCAAUGAUCUCAAAUCUAAACUGAAGCAGGGCCAAGUGAUUUAUAAACUUGUUAUAUUGCAAUGAUUCAUUAAGUAUAGUAUAGUUGAAAUAAACGGCAAUUGUUUUAUUGUAAAGACAAUUUCGUAAUGCCAAAAAAAUGCCAAAUUAAUAAAAUCCAACCAUCACUAGAUCAGUAAUUUCUACGUGCACACCAACUGCAUUAUGUUAAAUUGUUUGACAAAAAUUUACACAUUUUAUCUAACUUUUACUUUAGUUAUGUGGCACUCACAGAUCUUUGCAUCUCAUUUUUGCUGAAACUACUUAAAACAAAACCCACUUUCUCUAGACUUCACGGAAUAACCAGAAAAGUUAAUUCGCGAUUACUGCUGGAAAUUCUUCACGAACUUGGAAAAUUUAGAAAUUUAACUGAUAUAAUAAUUUAUACUUUACUUACUUUUUCUCAGGAAAAAGGGGUUAAGAGUGUAAUAAUCGACGGAAGAGGAGUAUACCUAAUGAGAUUCUUCGAGGUGAUUCGCGGAGCUUUAAUGGCUGCACCGAUCAAACUACUCCCCGUUAUAUAAAUCCCCCUAAAUGCAUUAAAAAACAAAAAUACAAACAAAAACACCGUUAAAAAUCAGAAAAACAGAGGCAAAAAAAAAAAAAAUGAUGAACAGUAUCGAGAGGAUCACCACGCGGCUCCGAGGACGGAGAUGCCGAUGGAAAUGGCGAUUCCGAUGGAUGCGAAGGUGUAGGGCGAGAUCUGCGUCAAAGCGCGCGACCACGAUGAGGAGCUCGAUCCCGACAUUUUCCGGAGGAAGAAGACGAAGCAGAAGAAGAAGAAGAGGGAUGAGUUCGAGUCUCGCGAUUGGAUCGAAGGGAGAUGUAUUAGUUAUAUUGGUGCCGCUAUUGGGCCCAAAAACGAUAUUGGGCCGUGUCAGGCCCGGUUAUACUUGUCAAUGAGAUCCUGGGCCUGAAAUUGGACCGCGAAAUGAACUCUCUUGCAUAUUGGGUCGGCCCACGUCCAGUUAAGCACAAAAGAAAGGUAAAUUAUAGUUUUCAAGUCCUUAAAAUUUGGAUUAAUUUUAUGCCCGAAAUUUAAAUAGCUGUGUAUCAAUUAAAUCUAUUUGUUGCUGUGUAUUUGAAAGCCUCAAUGGAGAUAAGUCACCUUUACUUAGACGAGGCACAGAAAAAAAGAAAGAAAGAAAGAAAGAAAGAAAGAAAUAUUUAAGGAUUCCCCAAGCAUUAUUAUUCUCACUAAUGAGACGAAGGCAUAGAGAUGGCAUCAAUCAAUCUCCAUAAAAAAGCCAAAGCAAAACCAACAACUUCACCCCUCCUUCCCUUUCCCAGGGCACGUGUACGGUUCUCAUUUUAAAUGGACGCUUAGUUCGGGAACUGGGCCAUUAUCUUCUUUGACGCCUAGUUCGUUAAAAAAUUAUCUUUCUUAACGAUUGUUUGAUUUGAUCCUUUUUUUUAACGUUCAUGUUAAGUAUUUUGUUAGUAGUUUAGUUCGGAAUCUCUACUGUAAUCAUCUGUUUAAUCACCUAUUAUUUGUAAAGAAAUAUUCCAACGAGCUAUAUCAAAAUUCUCUAACGUAAACAGAUAUGGUUUCACCUUCCAAAGCCUUCUCAGUUCUUCUCUUGAUCUCACUCUCACUCUCACUCUCACUCUCUCUUCUUCUUCCUGCUGCUCCAAUCCUCUCUUGGGACACCUGCAGGGAUAAUGGAGGGAGUUAUCCGGAGCCAGAGCCUCUUAUCCCUCCCUUCCAAUCCUCAAACUCGCGCCUUUAACCCUCUCCGCAACCUCAGAGCCCAUCUCCACCUCCGCCCCAACCGACCCAUCAAUGGUGGCUUCCCUGCCCCAACGCUCAGAGCCCAAAACCCACCAAAACCCUCUCAUGGGUUCUCCCCAAAUGCUCCCAAUCCAUCGUUUUCGCCUGAAAGUUCGAUUUUUUCGUCGAAGCAGAGGAACCCGACUCAUGGGUGGUGGUUUCGUAGUAGAGAUGGGAGCCUCCACGUCCGCCGCGCCGGAGCCGCUAUUCCGGCGCCGGCGCCGGAGCCGGAGCAGGAGAAGCCCAAGUUCCUUGGCGUCGAGGUCCAAACCCUGAAGAAGAUCAUCCCACUGGGUAUCAUGUUCUUUUGCAUCCUCUUCAACUACACCAUUCUUAGAGACACCAAGGACGUGCUCGUCGUCACCGCAAAAGGAAGCAGCGCCGAGAUCAUCCCCUUCUUAAAGACGUGGGUGAACCUGCCCAUGGCGGUGGGGUUCAUGCUCUUGUACACCAAGCUCUCCAAUGUGUUGUCAAAGGAGGCUCUUUUCUACACAGUUAUCUUCCCCUUCAUCGCCUUCUUUGGGGCUUUCGCCUUUGUGCUGUACCCGCUUAGUGAUGUUAUCCACCCCACCGCUCUCGCCGAUAAGCUUCUCGCGGCGCUCGGCCCGAGCUUUCUCGGGCCUGUCGCGAUUCUGAGGAUAUGGAGCUUCUGCUUGUUCUACGUAAUGGCGGAGCUCUGGGGCAGCGUCGUGAUCUCGGUGCUCUUCUGGGGUUUUGCCAAUCAGGUGAUCAAUUGCUCUCCGGACAAAUUUAAUUGUUUUGGUUGAUUCUAGGCUCCCAAUUGCGCUUCAACAUGGUCGAAUUGGAAUCUUUGUACUAGUAAAUUACAGAGAUGUUUCUCAGAUUCUAAUCCUGAAAUAAUUGGAUGUUUUAUAUUCCAGUCAUCAUAUAAACUUAUACUAGGUUGAUGGUAGUUUGCAUCUCCGCCGUAUGUUACAUGAAUGGACAAAUUUAUGUUCCGGUAAGAUCCAUUUGAUUUUGAUCCAUAUAUCUGUUAGAUUUUAAGUUUUUCUUUCUGUCUUAAGCUGUGUUUAUCGAAGUAAUUCUUUUUAUGUUGUUUUCCUAUCAUUUUUUUUAGGCUAGAUAUGCUAUCAGUAGCGCGAGUAGGACACUAUCUUCGCGCCGAUAAAUUCAAGAUUUGUUUCAUUCCCUCAAGUAGUCCUGUUUAGUACACAUAAAUGAUGAUUGCACCUACAGUUGGUUCUUACUGUUAACUAACUGUACAUUUAAGGAUUUUUUAAAAUAAAAUUUGAAUCAAUGUUAUUAUUCUGUGGCUCUGCUCUUCCUAGUUGUCUUUUUUAAGAAAAGUUGCUGCUUUCCGUCACGACGACUCAAUAUUUGACAUAAAACUUUUGCACUUUUGCAGAUCACCACCGUGGAGGAAGCCAAAGAAUUCUAUCCUCUGUUCGGCCUGGGAGCGAAUGUGGCCCUCAUCUUCUCGGGCCGGACGGUAAAAUACUUCUCUAACCUGAGAAAGAAUUUGGGUCCUGGAGUCGACGGCUGGGCCAUCUCUCUCAAAGGAAUGAUGAGCAUUGUGGUCCUACUGGGUCUCGUCAUCUGCGCAAUCUACUGGGGAGUGAACAAAUUCGUUCUGAAUGAUCCCUCCCUUCCAAGAAUUGAACGUAAAAAGAAGGUUGGUUUCAAGAGUUAAGCCUACACUAUUUUCCGUAGCUCACCUCUGGAUGUUGUUUAGUUAUUGACAACUAAUAUCUCUGCAGGAGAAACCCAAACUUGGUAUGGGUGAGAGUCUUAAAUUAUUGCUAUCUUCUAGAUAUAUGAGGGAUCUCGCCACAUUGGUGGUUGCUUAUGGCAUAAGCAUUAACCUUGUUGAAGUGACCUGGAAAUCGAAACUCAAGGCACAGGUGGAUAUUUUCCUUUUCCCAUCAAGAAAAUCGCACCUGUAAAAUAAUCGGGCAAUUAUUUAUUUAACUCCUUGUCAUACUUGUUUUUGCAGUUUCCGAGCCCUAACGAGUAUUCUUCUUUCAUGGGCGAUUUCUCAACCGCCACCGGUAUAGCAACUUUCACGAUGAUGUUGCUGGGCCGAGUAAUACUGAGAAAAUUCGGGUGGGGGGUGGCUGCCAUGAUCACCCCGACAGUUUUGCUUCUAACAGGAGUCGGGUUCUUCUCGCUAAUAUUGUUAGGCGAGCCAUUGGCUCCUAUUUUGGCUAAGUUCGGUAUGACUCCUUUGCUAGCAGCUGUUUAUGUGGGAGCAUUGCAGAAUAUUUUCAGUAAGAGCGCAAAAUACAGCUUAUUUGAUCCUUGCAAGGAAAUGGCAUAUAUUCCUUUGGAUGAAGAUAUGAAGGUCGGUAACCUUUGCCUCCAAAAUUAUAAUACUGUACUGACAUUGUGCUAUUUCAGAAAAUAAUAGCUGGCGCCUAGGCCUCGAGAUAUUAUACAUACAGAUUCAAAAUGUGAAACAACUAUAGUCAUAAUUUGUGCUUUUCUUCUCGUUCCGCUCUCAAAUAAGUUUUUUGUACAUUGCUAUAGGUCAAAGGUAAAGCUGCAAUUGAUGUAGUCUGCAACCCAUUGGGGAAGUCGGGCGGCGCAUUGAUCCAGCAGUUCAUGAUUCUGACAUUCGGGUCCCUUGCAAACUCAACCCCCUAUCUCGGAGGAAUACUACUCGUGAUCGUUCUUGCAUGGAUAGGUGCCGCGAGGUCCUUGGACUCUCAGUUCUCUCCCUUGGCUAAGCUGGAGUUAGAGAGGCAGAAAAUGAUGAAGGAAAAGGUAAACGAACCGACAAUCAGUGUGGACACUGCAACCGGCUCUCUUCAUGAAUCCACGGCCGCCGCGAGUUCGUCAAACGAGUCAGCUUCGAAGAAGAUAUUAUCUUCUGAAUUUGAGAACUCAUCAGAAACCUCGACUCCCCAGCCUCAGUAAUGUUAAUUUAGGCAAUUUACAGAGUAAAGCGGCUGUUAUGAGGAGAGAGACCCAGUAAUUAAGUUAGUGUUGCAUCAUUCUAGAUAGAAAAUAAGGUGAAGGGGUUAUGUAGCACUCGUUUGUUCUAUCACUUAUGCUAGAGAGAGAGAGAAAGAGAGAGGAUAAAUUGGCCAGUUGUAAAUUGUAAUAAGCUGUUGUUGUAUCAGCAUCAAGAGGCCACACGUCAGGAACUAUGUUCACAUAGCCAAAACGAGGUGCCGGUGCGAAAAAUGAGUCAGUCAUCUUUUUCUCACUCCAUUUUUGCACGCAUAGCAAACUAAUUGGAUCUCAACCGUGCAUCAAUAGUAAUAUAUCAAGAGGCCAUAACUAAUCAUUAACUGAUCGAUAUACUCCAUAGUAAUAAAUAUUUUUGCAAUUAUAUUAGCAAGUUUCUCUCUCUUUUCUGUGAAGCUUGCUAAAACUUUUAUUGUGACAAUAUUAAUAGUUUCCAAAGAGUCCUCCAUUUUGUGAAAUCGUGUCAAUCAAUUAUCUUCGCUUUCCUUUCAAAGAGAAUCCUCACAACAUCUUGCUUGUGACCAUUUGCUGUAGCCUAUCAAUCAACUGCAUUUCUUUUUUCCCUUUUUUUUUUUUUCCUGUCGACCGAUCGAUAACUGAUUAUAAUUGAAGUCGACGGUGAUACACUCUGGAAUUGCGACAACAUCAUGGACUCGGCAGGUGGACACUUUGCAACGCCGAAUUUCACAGCAUUGGUCACCUCCUUGGCUCCUUGUUACUUGUUAACGGCCACGAGCUCCUCCAAUAGGAAAUGAGGAAUAGUUGCCGGAAUAGCUAGCUAAUCGGAAAAGCUCACGGCUGAGCUAUUCCGACGAGUAAUAUAAUGUCUAACCUUAUUCCGCCCUCCUCGCCCCUCGUCCUCCUCCCCCACCGCCUCUCCGCCUCCGAGCGAAACCCUAACUCCGCCCCCAACUUCCGCCUCGACCACCUCGUCCACCCCGUCCUCGCCCGCCUCGAGCGGUGCGCCUCCAUGGCCGAGCUCCGCGCCCUCCACGCCCACAUGACUACCACCGGGCUCGCGCGCGACUCCUUCGCCGCGUCGCGGCUCCUCGCCUUCUCCGCCCUCUCCCUCCAAGGCGACCUCCGCUACGCUCUCGACCUCUUCCGCCGCCUACUCCCCGCCCCCAACCUCUUCGCCUACAACGCCAUGGUCCGCGCUUUCUCCCGAAGCAACCGCCCCGACCUCUCCCUUCGCUUCUACGUCGAAAUGCUCCAAUUUGGCCUCGCUCCUGAUAGCUACACCUUCCCUUUCUUGCUCAAAUCGUGCGCCCAUCUCCUCGCCUUGUCGGAGGGUCUACAGGUGCAUGCCCACGUAGUCAAAAUGGGAUUUUCGGGGGACCCAUUUGUGGGGAACUCGUUGAUUCACUUCUAUGCGGAGAUUGGGAGGUUUGAGCUCGCCGAGCUUCUGUUCGACCAAAUGCCUGAGAGAGAGCGGAACGAGGUCUCCUGGGCUUCAAUGAUCUCUGGGUUUGUAAGUAAUGAUCGCCCGCAAGAAGCAUUGGCUCUGUUUUGCUCCAAGGAUUGGAGAAACAUGGAUGCUGAUCAGAUCACACUCGUCAGUGUCCUUUCCGCAUGCGCUCAGCUGAGAGAGUUGAAAUUGGGAAAGGAUAUCCAUUGUUAUAUAGAGGAAAAGGGUGUUGAGGUUGGGCUGAUAUUAGGUAACUCACUAAUGAACAUGUAUGCAAAAUCCGGGCAGAUGGAAAUUGCUCGUGAGCUGUUUGAGAAUAUGGCUACGCUCGACUCAAUCUCGUGGAAUAUUCUUAUUUCUGGCUUUGUUGAAAAUGGAUCCUUAGAAAAGGGUUUAGAGAUGUUCUCUGAGAUGAAUCGGAGAAAUGUAAAGGUAAAUGAAGCAACAUUCUUGAGCUUGGUUUCAGCUUGCGGGGAGUUGGAGUUAGGGCUUGAGAUUCAUCAUCAUGUUAGAAACAUGGGUUUUGACACGAAUAUCUCGAUAUGCAAUGCGCUUAUUGAUAUGUACUCAAGGAUUGGAAGUGUUGAGCUAGCGAGCAAAGUGUUCGAUGAGAUGACCCUCAAAGACAUUAUCUCAUGGAAUUCAAUGAUAUCUUGCUAUGCUCGAUCCGGAUCUAUGGAAGAUGCUCGUAUACUCUUUGAUCAAAUGUUGGUAAAAGAUAACUUCUCUUGGAGUACUAUGGUUCUUGGGUACGUAAGAAACAAUGAGCCAGAAGAAGCAAUAGGUAUCUAUAAAGAGCUUAUGAAAGAAGCCAAUAUUGAACCCGAUAAUGUCACCGUCCUUAGUUUUGUGACGGCAUGUGCUCAUUUGGGUGCACUUGAAGAAGGAAAAGCAAUUCAUAGCUACAUAAAGAACAAGGAAAUUCAAAUUGAUAUCUCCUUAGGUACAGCACUUAUAGAUAUGUACUCGAACUGUGGGUGCCUAGGAGAAGCUGCAGAAGUUUUUCACAGCAUGAGAGAGAAGGAUGUUUCCGCUUGGACCGCAUUAAUUUCUGGUUUGGCCAUGCAUGGUCGUGGCAAAGAAGCUAUCCAAAUAUUCAAAGCGAUGCAAACUACAGAAGGGGACUCACCGAAGCCCAAUUCUGUUACUUUUCUAAGUGUUUUAUCUGCUUGUGCUCAUGCUGGGUUAGUCCAAGAAGGGUGGGAAGUUUAUAAUAGUAUGUUGAAUCGCAAACUCACACCGGAAAUGGCUCAUGUAGGGUGCAUGGUUGAUCUUCUCGGAAGAGCAGGGCAUCUAAAAGAAGCUUUUAACUUUAUAAAGAGUUUGAAUUGCGAAGUUGAAGCUAAUGUAUGGGGAGCCCUUUUAAGUGCAUGUAGAACAUAUGGUGAUGUGGAACGGGGGGAGAUUGCGUAUGCGAAGAUAGUUGAGUUGGAUCCUUUGCAUGAUGGAGCGCAUGUUCUAAUGUCGAACAUUUAUGCGAAGGCAGGGUGUUGGAACGAAUCGAAGGCAGUUCGAAGGAGAAUGAAGGAUGAGGGCAUUAGAAAGGAGGUCGGUCGGAGUUGGAUUGAAGUAGAUGGUGCUCUACAUGUGUUUACUGCAGGAAUUGAGCUAUAAUAGUCGAGUUCGAUGUAUAGGCGUGGUCUUUAAGUUGUAUUUUGGAGAGUAAGUGGUCCAUUUUAUAGCUGCUAACUUUCUUUUUCCUUGUUUUUUGUUUUUUGGGAGAAGGAUUGGAAGUUCUGUAAAGCUUAUUUUAUAGAUGAAAAUAGCAGGAAGUUUCAGCUGGGUUGUUAGAAUCCAAACUGUAAAAAUUUAUAUAGUUGCUAGCGGACGGAGAACAUGUGCAUUGCUUUACUCUGCUAGAGGCAUGGCACUGUACUUUCUUCUGAGAAUUUUCUUCACACUUUCGAACGUCAUGUAAAUUGUCCUUUUAUUAUUAUUAUUAUUAUUAUUUUUUUUUUUGUUGAGAAGAAAUCUGCGAUUCAUAUCAUUCUUUUUGUUUUCUUCUUAAACUUUUUACUAAUUUCACAAAUCAUGCGUAUCGAUUUUACCGGUUUUGUUUCAUUAAGCUAUACAUUAUAAUUUAAGAAAAAAAGUUAAUUAUACACCCAAAAGUGGGUGUGUAUCUUACUCUCCACCAAUGCAAAGUUGGAGAGUUAUCCACUAGUCACGUGAUGUGGCUUAUAGAGAAAAUUCCACCUUUGAAUAAGAUAGGUGUAGAUCAUACACUCACUUUUGGAGUGUGUCUCUAGUAUUGCUCUUAGGCUUCAUUGGAACCAUGUGCCUUAUUUGGGCUAUUUCCUUGCUGGGCUGAACCAACUAGGCCCACAAUUGGUAGCCAACUUAGUAACAAAGAAUUAAUUCGUAGUGGGCCGGCCCAACCCAUCGUCCGCAUGCGGACUUCUCCCAUUCCUCUCAGCGGAGUGAACGCAUAAGGACCUUUAUGCUGUUCCGAUCUCUCCACCCGAGUCCCGUCACCUCCCUCGCUGCGCUUGUCGCUCCUCUCUCCCGAGCUCCUCCUCGUCCUCCUCCUCCUCGUCCUCGCAAAACCCUAGGGGUCGCGGGGGUGGGAGAUGACGAUCGACGACGAGAACUCCAUCUACGUGGGUGGGCUCCCCUACGACGCCUCCGAGGAGAGCCUACGCCGCGUCUUCGACCUCUACGGCGCCGUCGUCGCCGUUAAGGUCCGCUUACCCCUCGCCACCUCUCAUCCUCUACUUUCCUCGCCUUCGAUCUUAUUCUUGUGCUCGUACGCCAUGAGAUUUGUCGACGGUUCGAACCAUUUGAUGGAUAGCUUUUGUAGAGCUAGGGUUUAUCACGCAUCAGCUUCUCUGUAACUAGGCUUUAUUCCUAGUGUUUUAAUAAACCUUUGCUGAAGCUUCGUUUUACCUUAUCAAACUUCAGCCUGUGUUAAUUAGGUCAUUGAACUUCGAUAUUUGUUUCAAUUUUGUCACACUCGUUUACUCCAUUUAAUUUUCCGAGUGAAAGGAAUGAGAUGACAGAUGAAAAAUGAUAUGACAGAAUGAUGUGGCAGUUGAAUUAACAAUCAGGUCGUCUAAAAAUUAUCAUUGGAUCUAAAUUCUGGGGAAAGGGGUAAUAUUUGAGCCAUUAUUUUACUUCCUGGUUGUGUCAUCUCAAAUUAUCAUUGGAAGUUUUGUGCUAGUUGGAAGAAAUUCAGUGGUUUCCUUUGUGGAAAAUAUAUAGUAAAUCAACAUUAGUGUUUCAGGAACUGUUUUAAUGAUGCAAACUUUGACUACAUGUUUGUCCUUCUAUGAAUACUUGUAAGCAUAUUUCAGAAGGGUCUGAGUUUCAUGAAACCAUUUCCUAUAUAUUCGAAUGUUGAAAAUUGUUCAAUCAAUUUCUAGUUAUAAUUUUUUUCAAUUUAACUGCAGAUAAUAAAUGAUCGGCAAGUUGGAGGAAAAUGUUAUGGCUUUGUUACCUUUACCAACCCAAGGUCUGCUGUUGACGCUAUCGCAGACAUGAAUGGCAGGGUAUAUGUCUCUGUUCUUAUCAAAUUUUAUGUUUUUCAUUUGUUUGACAUUUUUUUUUUAUAAAUAAAAUAGACUAUUGGUGGAAGAAUUGUCCGAGUUAAUGAAGUUCUGACAAGAGGUGCAAGGCCAAAUUUUUAUCGUGAAAAUUUCGGGAGGGAUGAUGAUUUUGACAAGGGCAGGGAUAGAGAAAGGAAUUAUAAUCGCGACAGAGAACGGUAUCAUGAGAGACCCAACGAGAGGUCUCGUGAGCGCGAUAGAGACAGAGAGAGAGAUUACGAGCGGCCCCACGACUUUGAUCGGUUGAGAGAUCGUUCUGUGGAUCGAGGACGAGAUCAUGAUGAUCAUGAUCACGAACAUGCAAGGGAUCUUGAUCGAGAUUGGGAAAGGGAGCGAGAAAUGGAGAAAGACCAUGAGAGAGAAAUAGAUAAAGCCAAAGGUUAUGAUAGUGGGAGAGAAAAGAAUAAGGAGCAACAGCCAAGGAACAGGUUGAGGUAAGUUUUUUAGUCUUACAGUCUCAAUAGUAUUUGCUCUUAUUUUUGCUUGGGACAUGAUGCCAACCAUGUUAUUUGCUUAUCAGUUGACAUGUGUUGCAAUGAAGUUGACACCUAUGCGCAAUUUUCUUUAUUUGUUAUAUGGUAUGGUUGAAUAAUUCCUCUUGAUAUAUGAGAUAGGUCGAUGACCCUAUGUAUCAGCUUGCAACUUAAAAUAUUCAGAUCGUAGUUGUUUAUUCAUCUUGUCUCUUACUAUCUACAAGGGCAACAAACAGUGGGAAGAUGCUUCCUCUUUCUUACUUCGUUCUAAAUGUGAAAUUUAGGUGCCAUUGUUUUUCUCAGCGCAUCAGAAGCAUCUAGGUUAUAAAACCUUUUUAAAGGGUUGUUAUAGUGAUUUUCCUGCUUGAUUGCAGUGUUGGCCGUCUGAAUGAUCAUCAAAGCAGAGAGUUGUCACCAAAUUCUAGUGAUGAUUAUCAAGAUCAGGUAGAAGAAGUGUCUUAGUUUAAUUGUCUAUUGCAACUGACUUUAGUUUUUAACACUUUAUCACACUGCUGUUGUGUUAUUAGGUGAAAGAGCAAUUGGAUGGAUCCAUUCAGAAGCUUGAUGAGCUUCAAAAGGAGGUACUUCAAUAUACAGAUCUUUUGACGAAACCAUUUGUGCAUCAGAUGUGUUUCUUUAUGCUUAACUACCUCAAUUUCAAAUUGCUGGGCUUCAACAAAUGAGAUGUGUUAUCCCGCCUUCUCAACCUGAAGCUGCCCGGCUAUUGAGUUCUUUAUAAUUAUCAGGGAUUUAAUUUGAGAAUCUUGAGAACACUUGGUGCUGGAUUAGGUUAAUUUUGUGUUGAUGAUAAUUUAAUGCAAUGGCUUCAGUUGCAACUGAAACUGUCCCAAUAUGUUGUAGGUAUAUAACCAUAUGUAAUUAUCUGUGGGUUUCGUCUUGUUGUACUAUAAAGAUUUACGGAAUUUGCUGUCUUUCAAUGUGUGAAUUAUAGGUCUUUUCUUGUGUAGUUUUGUUACUUAUUGUACUCAACUGAGAUUAAUGAAAUGCUUAACUGACACCACCAACUUCCCAAACUUGUUCCCAAAAUUGAUCUGUUAUUGGGUUGGCUUAGCUGACUAUGAUUUCUUGUAUUUUCUCUGCCUUUGGUCCCAUUUUCCAGCCUGCUUGUAAUGAGUCGUAUUCUUUAGGAUAGAAAGCACGCGUCACUAGAAUAUUUGACUAAGGCAUUCUUUUUUGUUUCAACUUUUUUUAGAUUACUUCCGUCUAUCUUUUUUUCCCAUAAUUCCAGGGUGACCUUAUUGAGAUGAGUAUUCUUUUGCCGGAUGAGCAAUGGUAUGAUGCAUGCAUAUUUUCCAGAGAUACAAUUACCAAGUGAUGUAAUCUGCAGGUUACUCUGAUUAAAGAUAAGGUUGACUCAAAGCAACAACUUGUUUCUGAUUUGCAGAAGAAGUCUCAGGUAUUCGUACUUUGAUUCUUUAAAAUAGUUUAGAAAUUUUCUAUGAUAACAUCCGCCUGUUUCCUGCUCUUUGAUUAAUUAUGUUAAAAUGCAGAAUUUAGAGGAUGCAUUGGCUGCUGUAAAGAAAGUUACCUCUCAACGACGGUCAAUGCUAGCAAAGGUACACAACUUUUUCCCUAUUCCUCAUUAUUCAAGCCCAGACUCCAGGGAAAUAGUUGUGGAGAUAAUACCUUUUCUUUCACCCAUGUACAGCUGCGAAGAGUUUAUUUACAAGUUCACGACUAUACUGAGAAGGUCAAAAUAACCGAAAAGGAACUUCAGGUCUUUGCUUUUAACUCAUCCCCACCUUUUUCUUUUUGUUUUACUUUUACAUUUCUUAUAAAUUGAUGUAGAAAAUCUGGUUUAAUUGCACUUGCUUUUGUUCACCAGACAUCGACUAGCUUAAUUAUUGUACAAAAUUCAUAAGAUGCAAAAUAUUGCUGGAAAUAAAGAAGAAUGAGGAGAGAGAGAACAAAAUUAGAAAACUUUUAUGUGCUUAUGAGGAGGGCAUUAGUGUAAUUCUCUAACACCCAUAUCUCCUUUUUGUAGUCUCUUGUUGAUGUUGCCAUUGCCGAAGUUGAUGUGGGCGAGGAUGCUCCUGCUAAAGAUGGAUUAGCUUAUGGUAAUGGCUUGGUAUGAAAAUUCCUCCCUGUUGAUCAUCAUUGUUGUUUAUCUACAAAUGGAAAUUUCGAGUUUGGUAAGCUUUAAUGCAAAUUUAUACACUCAUGCGCGCUUUGUAAUAGAGCUUUCAAUGACUCUUUGUUCAUUACUUUGCACAAUGUAGCUCAAUAACAUCUUUUCUUUCGUUGCAUUUUACGGCAAGAAUGGCAGCAAAUGUGUCUAAUAGUCUGGCGCAGCAUCUAUACAGCCUUUUCCAAUUUGUUUAGUCAAAAUUUAGUGUUAAAAGCUUAUUUGGCUGUGCUUAUUAAUUGUUCUUGUGAGUCUGCGCACACACAAAAUUGUUGGAUUUCAAUGAUCAACCCGUUCAAUUUAAAUGAAUGCAUAGGAUACAAAGUAAAAUCGACAGAUCACAAUUUGUCAUCUUUUACCAUUUAUGCUCUGUAAUGACGGAAUGUAGAUUGUUUUACGUUCCAAUUGGUAUGGCAAGUUGUACAACAAUUCAUUUUUCUUGACAGAUUUUGUCAUUUUGUAGAAACUUAUUGUAAAGAAAGUAACUGGGUUUUGGACCCUUUAUCUUUGAUUUUUUUUCUAACCAACAAUGAAUCACAAGUAGGAGUAACUUGAAUUAUUAUGGUGAUUAAUUUGACAAUUCCGGUCCACUCUAUAGAAAUAUACUUACAAAGUAUAUUUCAUGUGUCGAUAACGAUACAAUGCAGUGUAUGUAACCAUGUGCAGUGUGCUUCUCAGAUGCUCUACAAACUCUUAAAUAAAUAGAAGUGGGUAGAAUUUUAUUAUGUAUAAAAAGAGCAAUCCUAUAUGUAUGCAAAUUUUACAUUCCACCUAUUCAAAGGCUUAUUUUUUUUGCUAGUUUAUUUUUUUUUUUGUACUAAAAACUAAAAAACUUUUGUAAUCUCUAGAAUGGAAGAUUGGUAAUAUUUAUUAGGUGUAUGACUCUUAAAUAAGUAGAAGUGGGUAGAAUUUUAUUAUAUAUAAAAAGAGCAAUCCUUUAUGUAUGCAAAUUUUACAUUCCACCUAUUCAAAGACUUGUUUUUUUUUGCUAAUUUUAUUAUUUUUUUGUACUAAAAACUAAAGAACUUUUGUAAUCUCUAGAAUGGAAGAUUGGUAAUAUUUAUUAGGUGCAUAUGCAGCAUUUUUCUUAUAAAAAAAGUUCUCAACAGAAUUGGCCUUACAAUCUUAUCUAAAGCACUAUAAACUUAGGAAAAAUUAAGCCCACGAGUGUUGCAUGUGCAAUCCUGCUCUCUCUUCCUAUUUCUCUUAAAAGCCAAUAUCUUAAUUUUCUUAUCCUAGUCUCAUAUUAUUUGCAAACAAAGCACAAUAAAAUUUCGUAAAAUUCUUGAUGUAUUAUCCAAGAGUGUACCUGCAAAGUAGGUUCCAGUUAUAAAUGGUCUUUAUCAAAUCCAGUACUAUCAAAUCCGCCAAUCAACUUCCCCAACUAUCCUUUUCAUCAACAUUAGUAGAGAGUACCAGGGAAGCGCCAGUAAUAACAUAUUAGAUUGUUUCAAAUUAAAGUAAACGCAAUUAGUUUAAUAUAAUUUCUUUUGUUAAUAAUAGUAAAGUAACCCAGAACUCGAAAUCACGGCCGUUGGAUGAUCAGCAAUAAAUCUGGAAAUUUUUCCACCCGGUUUCACGUGCGACCACGUGCCAUCGGGGAACCGACCGCAUCGACGCGAGUAAACGGCGGGAAUCAGGCCGUCGACGAAGCCCAUCUCUCCGUCCUAUUCAACCCUCCCACCGUCCUCUCCGUUCCAUUAAUCCAUACACGACGUUUCCUACCACGUACUACCGAAAAUGCCCUCCCCCUUAUGAAGCCCCAUCUACAAUUUUUAGCCCCGCACUUAGUGGCACCGUUGCAAUUUCGUGAUAAUCCAAUGGCCUUUAAAUUUUAUUUAGCGUUUUUCUCCGACGUCAUUUGUUUCUCCUGCCAAGUCAACACAGUGAGAAGCUUCCCUCUUUAACCACACAUAAGUAAAUAGGAAAAGAGGCUCCAAUAAGUUCCAAAGCUGGGAUUUUUAUACUUAAUUAAUACAAAGUCAGAGUUGUUUUCGAUCUGAUUAUUAUGAGACUGAGAUCCCCACACAGAUGAGGCAGAAGAGGAUCUUCGCAUCAGUUUUUUGCCCCCGAAGGAGAAGCUGCAUGAGCCCCUUCUUUCUUAGGUCAGUUUUCAAAGACCAAUUUCCUCUCUAAAUUCCCCAAUUCCAUCCAAAUUCAUGCCCAAUUUUAUCCGUAGGUAGAUCAUUUGAGACAAAGUUUGGAUUUUGACACUUACCCAGAUGUUUUUUUUUUUUGGCCUUUUCUGCCUUUUGAUCCACUUACGUAUCGUUGCCCUGCUCAAACUUGCUGUUUUUGAGAAUUUUUUGGGCCUUAACUAGCUCAUAUUCAUGUCUUGGGGUAGUGAGCAUCUGAAAUCUCAAGGGAAGAAGGGUUAAUUUUAGUUUGUUUUCUAUAUCUGAACCUGUUCACAGUAACUGGGCUUAUUCAUCUUUGAGAAACUAGGGUUUUGGUGAGGUUUUGCAAUGGAGAUCAUUAGCUUGGUGUCACACUUAUGGGCCUUAACGUUUAUACUGUCCUUCGCCUCCACUACCUCCUCUCCGGUUGGCCCACCCAAACCGAUGGCCGAAGCCACCGCCGAUGAUCCCUUCAUGCCCCACGCCUACUCUCGCUUCCCCGAAGUGGAGAAGCAAUGCCGGCAAUUCCUCUCCUCAUCUGCCAAAAUCGAAUUCGAUGUCAAUAGAGUCAACGGCUUCAAACCCGAACUCUCCUUCUCGAAAGGGGAUUGGUCGCAAGAACCUGGCGAUUCUGCCCUCAUGCCGUUCGACGGAAGUGAUGCUCUGCCAAAGUCCACUUCCCUUCCCGACCCACUUCUCCUUGCCACCUUCAUGCUGACCCACAUCGACCUGACCCGCCAUUCCCCUAAUGCUCUCAAUGUAAGUGGAGCUUUAGCCAUCGCCAUUUCUAGAAACGGUACCUUCCCUGAAGUGGGCAGGUACUUGGCUCCCGAAUUUCAUAUUUGGCCUGGUAGCUCCGAACUUAGAAUUCUUUUCGAAGGUGUAUACACCGAGUCAGAAAAGAAUGGGGGCGAGAGUGUUGUAUGCUUGUUGGGAAAUGCUUUGCUCCCUUCUCGUAAAGAUGAAUGGGUUAGAAUAUCUGGGUCGAAACAUCUCCAGCCUCCUGUCUUGAAAGAUGAUCGUAUAUUGCUUAUUCUUCACUAUCCUAAAACCUUCACCUUGACCAGUCGAGCGGUGAUUGGAGAAAUGAGAAGCCUAAAUGGUUUUUCAAAUCCUCGAUACUUUGAUCUUGUUAGAUUGUCUUCACAAUUGGGUGCUUAUUCAAACUACCAGUUUGGGGCAGAAAAGCUCAUUUCGAAAGCCUGCACACCUUAUCCUUAUGAGGACGAUGUCGCAAAAGGGCAGUUGGAGGUGUACAAGGGAGCUUUUUUCUGUGGGAUUCUCAAUCGAUUUGUGUCCGGAGAAAUUCUCAAUGUUGUUCCAAACUGGAACUGUAAUUCCACCGACGAUUACUGCAGUAAAUUGGGUCCUUUUGAAACUAAUAAAGAAAUUAGGGCAACCGAUGGGGGAUUCGCUAAUGUCGGGAUCAUAAUGCAAGAUGUGAGAUGUGAACCACUAAUUGACCAAAACAAUGCAAGCUCCGCUAAGGUUUCUGCAGUGUUCAGAGCCGUUCCUCCAUGGGAGAAUCAGUACACUGCGGGACAAAGGUCCGGGCUUAAUGGCUUGUCUCUCUCGGCCGAGGGCAUGUGGAAUUCCUCAAAAGGUCAACUUUGCAUGGUCGGCUGUUUAGGUCUCGGUGACAAAGAAUGCAACUCCCGCAUCUGUUUGUAUAUUCCUACAUUCUUCUCUAUCAAGCAACGGAAUAUCAUAUUCGGUACAAUAUCGAGCAUUAAGGAAAACACGCACUUCCCAUUGUCAUUUGAAAGGCCUAUCCAUCCCUCACAACUGUGGACUAAGUUCAGUGCUUCCCCAUUGAAUCAAUAUAAGUAUUCGAAGAUCAAGUUGGCGGGUGCUUUUCUAGAGAGAAAUGAGCCCUUUGACUUCGGCUCUAUUAUUAAGAAAUCGCUCCUUAGUUAUCCCAGAAAAGGAGAUAAUAGUGAUGAGCUAGCCAGUCUAUCCAAUCUUGCCGACGAUCUUACCCUCCACGUCCCUGCAGUUGGCGAUCCAAUACCCAAAAAUCGUACGCAAUGGCCAUUUCUUCAGCUCGAGAUCCUCUCUAUAGGGCCGUUGGUGGGCCGCUAUUGGGCUUUCCAGAAUGCAUCUGCAUCUAAAAGUACAGCUUCAGCUUCUCCAAAAGCUUCUUCCACAGAGCGGGAGCUGCUAUUGAAUGUCUCAGCGGAGCUCACUCUCUCAGGAAAGAACUAUACUAAUGGCUCCUUGCUAUACUUAGAGGGCCUUUAUAAUCCGAUCAACGGGAAAAUGUAUCUGAUCGGCUGUAGGGAUGUCCGUGCUUCCUGGCAAAUACUAUUCGAGAGCGCGGAUCUUGAGGAUGGCCUGGAUUGUUUGAUUGAAGUGAAGGUCGAAUACCCACCAACAACCGCACGGUGGCUCAUAAGCCCAUCAGCAAAGGUCUCAAUCACAAGCCAAAGGAACGAUGAUGACCCUCUUCAUUUUAAUUCAAUUGAGCUACAAACUCUUCCGAUUUUGUACAGAGAGCAGAGAGAAGACAUACUCUCAAGAAGAAGUGUGGAGGGACUUCUUCGCAUUUUUACGCUGUCGAUUGCAAUCUUUUGCAUAUUUAGCCAGCUUUUAUAUGUAAAAAAGAAUACUAAUGACGUUCCUUACAUGUCUCUUGUCAUGCUUGGUGUUCAAGCUCUUGGUUAUAGUGUCCCUCUCAUCACUGGAGUCGAAGCAUUAUUUACAAGAUUGACAUCUGAAUCGCUCGAUUCCCAAUCGUACGAUCUCAACAAGAAUCAAUGGUACUGGAUUAUAGACUACUUGGUGAAGAUUUUGAUACUCGCUGCAUUCCUUCUCACAGUUCGGCUUGGCCAGAAGGUAUGGAGGUCCCGAAUAAGAUUACUAACACGCAGUCCACUAGAGCUGUGGCGGGUCCCUAAUGACAAACGGGUUCUCCUAUACAGCUUCGGGGUCCAUGCAGUUGGUUUUCUUAUAAUAAUCAUUGUACAUUUUAUUACUAAUUCUUAUAGACCGGCUCGCCAAGAGAUGUACAUUGAUUCAAGCGGAAACAGCCAUAAACUGCGAGAGUGGGGAAUUGAGCUAGAGGAGUAUAUUGGGCUCAUUCAGGACUUCUUUUUGCUUCCUCAAAUUAUAGGCAAUUUUCUAUGGCAAAUUAAGUGCAAGCCUUUGAAGAAAUCCUAUUACAUCGGAAUAACAGUUGUCCGGAUUCUUCCUCAUGUUUACGAUUAUAUUAGAGCUCCCAUUUUCAACCCGUAUUUCUCGGAGGAGUACGAGUUUGUGAACCCGAGCUUGGAUUUCUACUCCAAGUUCGGUGACGUGGCGAUCCCAUUGGUUGCUGUGGUGUUUGUUGUUGUGGUGUAUGUUCAGCAGAGGUGGAACUACGAGAAGCUUAGCGAGACACUUCGAUCGGGGCAGAAGAAGCUUCUUCCUAUGGGGUCAAGAGUUUAUGAGAGGCUGCCGUCACUGUCGUCGGCGACUUUUGAAGCCGAGCUUGUUUCUGGUGUGAAUGAGAAUGAAGUCCACAACAAUUUGCGCGAGAAUAGAGGCUAAUAACUGAGAGAGUUUUUUUUCUUGGUUUCUUUGUUGUAAUGUUUACUUCGGUGAGUUCUAAUUUCGAGGUAUUAGAGAGAGAGAGAGAGAGAGAGAGGGAGUGACUGAGUAACUUGUCUAAUUUUCUCUUGUAGAACCCUGAUGACUGAUGACUUGUUGAAAUGUUAGAUCUGAGUUUUACAUAUUUUAGAGUUGUACUAUGAUUCUUGAGGUUUUCUGAUGAAGAGUUUAUAUUUUGUAUUAUCUUUGUAUUGCUGGAUUGCUUUUCCUAACAGAAAGAAGGAAAUCUUUUACAGCGGCAGUGUACUGUUGUACUUAUUUAUUGGAAUUUUUGGAAUGGAUUUAAACUUUCUGAUGAGCGAUCUGCGUCUUACCAAGUUGUAUGAAAAAAAAAAAAAGAAAAAAAAAGAGGAGGAUCUAUUUGCUCCUUACUAUGAAAGGAAGCAUCAAGCAUCUGACACACUUCUAUUUAUUAGAUGUUGGUGGGAAGUUUGUAAUAAAUUGUGUUUUUUCUCUUUGUUUUUUUUUUUUUUUUCCUUUCUUUCUUAUUCAAAUUCGCAUGCUAUGACCUAUGUUUUGCGGUGUGAAAACAAAUUCAUUCUGCGAAAAGAAGGCUUCUUGAGGAUGAUUGAUUGGAGCUUGUGUAGAACAAAAAACAGGGAGCUCUACUCAUGAUUCAAGGAAAAUAUAAAUAAAUAUCCCCACCAUCUCACCAAACACUCGAAGAACAGAUAAAAUCUGAAUUAAGCAAUCAACAUAUCCAUGCGUACAGGUGAAUAAUAACAUCCUCUAACUUAAAUAUCAAAUACAACAGGGAUAUUCCCUCUUAACUAAUUUUCUCAAACUUACUACUACUUCCACACACACACACACACACAAAAAAAGAAAGAAAAUCUUUUGUGUACUUUUAUGAUGCUAUCAAAACAUUAUUACUAUGUGAUCAUGUUUGGAAACCAAAAAAAAGGCCUAGAAUAGGGCCCAAGUAUAUAAUAAUGGGUCGGGCCCAAAAAUCAGAGAUCCGGUCCAUGAACUGGCUAGGCCCGGCCCUUUCCUUCGAGAAUAACUUAACGGGUCCGUAAGGUACAUAUGAAAGGGACCCGAGCGGGUGUAACGCUCGCUAGUUAAAGAAAAGCGAAUCCUUCACCGCCCAUUAAAUCUCACCCCACCGUUGCGUUCUCCUCCAGUCACGGCGGUAACUUUACCGCUCCAGAAUCUUCUAAGACGCCUCUCUCCUCUUUCUUUCUUUCUCUCCCUGCUGCUUCCUCCUCUCACCGCCACCCCUCGCCAUCGCCUCCCAAAGGAAGGAGACGCUUCGCCUACCCUGCCAAGACCCUAAUUCCCCGCGAAUCGGGGUCGAUCUCGCGCCCUAAACGAUAGAGAUCCCCCCGAUCCGGUUUCCUACGAGGUACAGAUUCGCUUGAUUUGUUCCCAUUUGCGCGAAAAUUCUCGUGUUAUUCCCCUUUUUUUUUCCUUCCUCGAUUUCGAGGAUUUUUUGUUUUUUUUUUUUGAACAGUGGUGCGAGAUCCAGUGGUUGUGAUGUGUGAUUCGGUUUGACCUAAUUGUUGCAUUCGAUGGGCUUCAUUUCUACUGGAUUAGAGGAAUUUCGCAUCUUUUUUUACCGAUUUUCUACGGUCCGCAGAUCAUUUUUCGGUUGUUAGAUGAUGAAUCACCAGGUUUCUGCAGGAUUUCAGCUGAUACUAAUUUGUAUAAUCCUCUUUUGUUCGUAGUGCGCGUCGAUUCUUCUACGGGUAAGUAUUGUGUCGUACUUCUAUAAAUUGGUAUACUAGUUUAGGUAACAUAAUGGAGUCCAUAGGGUUUCGUCGACUACGUUACAGUUCGUAAGUGAGGCUUUUGAGUCAGUUAGUUCGCGAUGUAUACAAAGAUCUUAUGCAGAGACAUUGUCCGGUAUGUCUAAUUUAACAGUACAUUCUGAUCUCAGUAGCUUCCUAUUCACUAUAAUAACAUGUCUUCUCAAAACAUGUUUUCUUUUGUGGGAGAAUGUACCGAGUUUUAGCAGGAUGAAUUGUGUGAGAUAUGCCAAGAUACUGUUACAUUGGCAAUGCUACAACUUACAAGGGAAUCAACUGUCUUCUCUUUGCUUGCCAUCAUCCAGAAGUUGAGCAUCUCCUUUAAUUUUGCCAUGAAACCCCAGGAUUUGUUGCUAUUCAUGAUUUCGUUGGAGUAUUCUUUUCUUUUUAUUUGUUUGAUUCCAAAUUCGACGUCAUGUUUGAAUAGGCACUUGUUUCUUCUAUUUGAUUGGGUGAUAUCAUUUGGGAAUGCAGUUAAAGUGUUGUUCUCUAUCAGAAGACAAGUUUGGUGUCAAUGACAUUCUAGGUUUAUGACAGUUCCAUAUUGUGUAAGUCAAGCUCCUGCUGUAGGCUUCAAGUAGAAAAUGUUUUUUUAGCUCUAAAAAGGUCUCACUGGAAAAGAAAUUGAAGUUUCUACAAAAAGCAGAAGCUAAAAGAGAAGCACAAUGUACCCUUGGUGCAUAUAAUGCUUUACUUGGUUGUGGUGUUACCUCAACUUUUGUGUUGCCAUCAUCACUCUAAUGUUUUAGAGACGAUGACUACAAUAUGCUAUAAUGGCAUGUGUGUUUUACAUCCAAUCAUCUGAUGGGGAGGUUCAUGGUGCCAAGAUUCUAGACUGGUUUGCUUUGAUUGCAAGGAAAGAACUUAUUCUAUUCUUUCUUAUGUGUUAGCAGUUAUUGAAGAUAACUUUUUGUUGUAAGAGAAUGGCAUUUCGAUGUUGGAUAAUUCGAUAAUGCAUGUGUCCUAGUUGGGAUCGUGAGUACGUUAAUUCGGGAAGUAGAGAUGCAAUAUUUUGCGAGGGUUUUAGCAACGGCUUUCUUUUGAAGCUCUUGAAGCUCUCUAGGGUGAGAAGACCAUCUCGUUACUGGGAGGUAACGGAGUUUUGAUCUGUGGAUUAAGAGGAAUCCUUCUGUUUUGAUGUAUACAAGCCAUCACCUUCUUUGAAUUCGCUAAUAACUUGUUGUGUUGUUUACUCUGAUUCUGGUUGAUACUUGCUAAUGUAUUUCAUGGUUUUGUUGUCAACUGUUUUAACUUGCAGCUAUAUCUUUUGAUUUAUCUCAAUUAAAAUGUAUGACCUUGGAAAUUCGAGUUCACCAAAAUGUGAUUUAAGCAUCAUUCUAAAUAAAUUUUUAAAAUUCUCUAACAAGCUAAUCUAAACUGCAAAGAAUUUUACCCUCCUAAUCUAGCUCUUCUUUGACCAGAAUUUACUCUUCUUUCUUGUUGGAAAAAAUCCUCAUAGAGUUGGCUCUGUUGAACUUUGUUUGUGCAUUUUUGCACAUAUAGGCUUGAUGCUAAUUUUUCGCAGAGAAGAAUAUCCCUGAUACAAUAUGUCCACUCUGUAUUCUCCUUUUCUGUUCUCCUCCAACCUAGUAUUCUGCACACCUUUACUUGUAGUUUCUUUUUUGACAAGUAGUAAUGUAAUAUCACCAGUUAAUGUUACCGAAUGUGAUUAUGAUCUCUGUCUACUUCGGUUAUAACCAAAUUAAAGGUCAAAAAUUGUUAACUACAUAUCCUUAUAUGCAACUAACAAAGAACAGCCAGAUAUAACUAAUCAAAUAGAUUCACUGAAGCAUUUGUUUGUGGAAUAGAUGUUUAACUUUCCAUUUAAAGAUGUCUUACCGAUCUGCCGAGUGCUAACUAUGGUCCAACUAAUUUGGCUCAUUCUUGAUCUUGAAAAUUUGGCUUCUUUCUAAAAAUUACAUGAAGAACUCUGAGCUUCCCAGUGUUUGUUCAGAGCUGUACAUCUUUACAAUAGAAGACAAUAGGUUUUGUUUGGUGUCUGUGGUCUAAGGAUGUUUUACCUAUUAUACUUUUGUUCUCUUUUCUUCAUAUAAUCUUGGCUUUUGGUGGAGGUUCCACUGCAUCAUUGCGGAAAAACAUAAUUUUGUUCCACAUUAUACUUGGCUCAAAUGCUAGAAGAGCAUUUAGGAAAUUCAAAGAAGCUUUAUCCACAUGAAAUUUCCAUAGAACUUUUUCUUUGCAUAGUUAAUUUUUGGUCCACAAUAAUUUUCCCUGAUUGCCGCCAAAUAUCUACAAGGCAAAUUAAGUGGGACUGGCCCAUAAAAAAUAGAAACCAAAAGAAGUAAACUUACAGGAAAGAUUUGGUCUCUUGUAUGUGAAUUGAGUUUUUUGUGCGAACAAUCUCAAGGCUUUUGCACCUUGAAUAAUUUGUUAUCCUAUAAUAAUCUGCAUGUCAUUCAUGAGAUACCAUGGCAGUUUCAGUGUCAGUUUUAGCUCUUUUGUACUGUUUAAUGUCACUUUAACUUUGUAUUUUCUUAUUUAGAUGCUUGGAUUAACUCCCCUUUUUUUUUAUUGUGCAGCGCUAGUAUGAAUUUUUAGUUAUCACAACACACAGCAUCAAUCUCCUUUACGUGUCUUCGGAGAGAUGGCUUACGAGGGAGAAGAAGAACAGAGCCAGGACUAUUUGUUCAAAAUUGUUCUUAUUGGUGACUCAGCUGUUGGAAAGUCAAAUUUGCUUGCCCGAUUUGCCCGGAAUGAGUUCUAUCCGAACUCCAAAUCCACUAUAGGUGUUGAGUUCCAAACACAGAAAAUGGAUAUUGAUGGGAAAGAAAUUAAAGCUCAGAUAUGGGACACUGCUGGACAAGAGCGUUUCAGAGCCGUUACUUCUGCUUAUUAUCGAGGAGCUGUUGGAGCUCUUCUGGUUUAUGACAUCAGCAGGCGUCAGACUUUUGAGAGCGUUGGGCGAUGGCUUAAUGAACUUCAUAGUAAGUUUCUAAAUUCUGUCUAGAUCUUUUUCUUUGAUUUUCUUGAAAGCUUGCAAAUGACUUUGUUUUCAUCUCCACCACGGUCAUUUUUACUUUCUGUUCAUUUUCCUAUUGUCUGUGAAAUUGUUGAUACUUGCAAUUUUUCACUGCAAUCCCUAUUUCGCAACGUCAAACAUAUCCCUUUCUUCAAAUACUUUCUCUUUCUACAACCGAUCAUGCUAUCUGGGACUUGGUCAUGGAUUGUUAUAAUUAGUAGUCGCGUAAUUUUCAUUUACAGCUAGAUUCACUGUAAAGUGCACAUCUAUUCUUCUACUUCAAGCAGUUUCUCUUCUCAAAUUCUUCAUGAUGCAAUCCUAAUCCUUGCCUGCCUCAAUUUUCAACACUGGAACAGCUCAUUCCGACAUGAAUGUAGUUACCAUAUUGGUCGGGAACAAGACCGAUCUCAAGGAUGCACGAGAGGUAACCACCGAAGAAGGGAAAGCCCUAGCUGAAGCCCAGGGCCUCUUCUUCAUGGAAACCUCAGCACUCGACUCCUCCAAUGUCGCGGCCGCCUUUGAAACUGUGGUGAAGGAGAUCUACGGCAUAUUGAGUAGGAAGGUGUUCCAAUCCCAAGAACUAAAGAGAAACGAGUUGUCGUCGUUGAGCAACGGGAAGACGGUAAUCUUACAGGGUGAAACAAAUGAAGCGAACGGCCAGGAUAGGAGAUACGGGUGCUGUUCUUCUUAAAAAGCUUGUAAACUCUCUCUACCUCCCUCCCUCUAUUUUUUUUUUUUUUUUUUUUUUUUUUUUUUUUUUUUUUUGCACCCUCUUUUGGAUCCUCUUUUUUUACUUUAUUGCAUCGCCUUUCGCUCCACUGUAAAGAAACACAUGCCUAAUGUUUUUGACGGUAAAUGUUGAUCUACUAUUUAUUUACUAGUCUAGUCUUGUCGCUCAAUUGAUGAAUUUCUUUCUAGGUUGAGCAACAGGGACUGAUUGUUAUGAUGCUACAACAGUCUUGUUUCUAUAAAACCGAUGGUGUUCUUUCAGGGAGUGUUUUGUUUGAUUCACUCAUUCAAAGUUCAAUAUAUUUUUUUUUUCCUCUCUUCGCAUUCAUACUAUGAAUUAUUUUGCUCUCUAUUGAACAAGCAAGGCAAGAGCAAUACUACUAGUAUCCUCCCAGACUACAUGUGUAUUUGACAUUUCAUUCAUUUAAAAGUCCAUCUUCUCUUUCUAGUCUUAUCAACAAAAAGAAAAAUCUCUUAUGACUAAGAUUUGUUUGAAUAAAUCUUAGGAUAUUGAGGUUGUAAGAUCUACAUCAUUUCCCGUACGGCAUACUUGAUUCUACUCUGACCAUCCACUUGGCAAGCGUCCGAUUUGGCGUCUCCAGUUCUGUUAUGAAAGUCGUUUCAUUGGAAUACUAAUGAAGUGAUGGAGGCUAAAACGUUAAAAAGAACAAGAAGAUUCCAGCGAAGCGAACCUGGUUUAUGGACGAAAAAUUUUAAAAUGCACCGGUAUAUUGGUGACGUAGCGUAACAAACUAAUCAAAAAUUUUUUUUAAAGAUAUAUAACCCAUCAUGAUUAUAAAAAAGUAUUUUUAUUAUACUUUUGUUUAAAAAGAAAAAAUAUAAUUAAUUUAUUAUUGAUGACGUGGUGUAAAUAUGAUAAUAUAGAAUUCCUUGCUAUGGACGGAGUCCACGACUUCACAGAAAUUGGAGGUUGUUGCCGUUCGAGAUGACGGCAUGGACGGCAAUUGCACGGAGUCAGUCCCUGCGGCGGUUAAACAGGUAACAACAUCUUUCACUUUAUUAAUGUAUGAAAUUAACCCUUUUAUAUUUAACUUAUUUUUUAGAUUCGUAAAUAAUUUUUAAACUUGGUCUUGAAUUCCCUUUCUGACAGGGCAUUCCGGCUAUGUCACAAAUUAAGGCCAAUCUCACGCACAUAAUCAUAUAUACCCAGAUUUGACCCGAGUUUUUUUAAUUUAAUCACAUCGACUCGGUAAACAAACCGUCUUUAAAACGAACUCCUUAUUAAAUUGCCAAACCUUACGCUCUAUUAACAAACAAAACCUGGAACGAGGUAUUGUUUAAAACUACCUAUUUAAAUUGAUGCCAGUUCUAAUCUGAACUAAGAGCUAGAGUGUGGAUGCCCAACUAUCAACAAUUAAUUUUUGAAAAAAGAAUAUGAAUUUCAAAGUAUAGUAGCAUAACUAUUUAUUAAAGUUAAUUAAAAAUUAAAAACACAGCACGAGAUUAUGUAUUGUAUAGUAGCAUAACUAUUCAUUAAAGUUAAAUAAAAAUAAAAACAGAAAACUGAUUAGUUUUUUUUAUAUUAAAAAAAAAAAAAACAGAGCACGAGAUUAGCAAGCGAUCCUUCAGCACCCGUUUGGUUCGGAGUUACAUGGUGGAAUAAUUUUUUAACCCCGAAGUUAUUCCCAAACACCCAAUUUGGAGGGUGGGGGUUAGCUAAUCCCACCCCACCCAACUACUCCAACCAAACAAAAUACUAUUUUACCCACUAUCCUUCUUAUUUCACUUAUUCUAACCAAAUAUUAUUUUAUCUAUAUCUAGACUAAACUUAAUUCUCAACCAAAUAUAAAAUUACUCUAACCUCACCUUAAUUUUAAAUUUAAUUCUAUCUCUGAAAUAAUAAAUUUUUACUUAAUUCCGAACCAGACGAUGGCUUAGAGUCUUUCGUGGCCCCCUC
rnacentral:lncRNA from 1 species